rnacentral:lncRNA from 1 species
GUUUCGCGUUCGGAGGUGAUGUCUCGGUGGAUCUCCCCGCGUCGGGGAUACUUUACGUGGUGACUUUGAAGCAAGUUUGUUUGGCGUUUGCGGCUAAUCAUGAUGAUAGUGAUCUGACUAUCUUUGGGAAUGUGCAACAAAGAACCUUAGAGGUUGUUUAUGAUGUUAGUGGUGGGAAAAUUGGGUUUGGUUCUGGUGGUUGCAAGUAAAAUUAGUCAGUUUUGAUUAAUGAACUAUUUUUAUUUGAACACAUAUAACUAAUUAUCUAAUCAAGCAAAAUGAAAAAUACAUUAAAAUAAUUGCAUUUUGAGUUUUUGAUUGGUUAUGGUUAUAGUUUAAUCAAUGUGUUCCUAUUGGAAUUUCUCAAGAUCAAAUGACCAAUUGUAUUAUCAUAUAUAUGCUUUGAGCUAGUUCUGGGAAAAGAAAUCUUAAUUGCAUUAAAUAAUCAUGUGGGGUUGAUAUAAAAAGAAAAUGAAAGGAGAAAAUAUGUCGUAAAACUGUGUUAUAUAGUGGUGGAAGAAGACUUUAAGGGCAAUGGUGAUAAGAUGUAAAAUAUAUAGAUUGAAGUGACUAUAAUAUGUGUAAUUUAUGGCAAUUGUUGAUAGAUGUGUAAUAUGAUACUAAUUUAAAGUUGUACUUCCGUCAAAGGUUUAUUGAAUAAAAAUAUAACAUUUUGGAUUAUUUUGAUUCUGUUCCUUUUUUUUUCUUCUAGGAAUUUGAUUUUAUUAAUAAUAAAAGUUUAAUUUGAAUGCAAUGAUGAUAUAAAAUAUUUUACACUGUUAGUAUAUUACAAUCACUCAUAUCUAUUAUCUUAAAGGUGGUUACUAUACAAAUCAAACAUUUUUAAACGUCGAAAGGUUGUGAUUAAUUGACAGUGUUGAGAAGUAUGAUAGAUCUUAACAAAAAGGAACAAACAAAUAUUGAAUAAUUUGAAAUUGAUUCAAUGAAAAAAAGAUGAAUACAAUGAGUAUUUGAUAAAUUUUAUAUGGAUAAAGUAAUCAUAACCAAACUAACAAAUUUUAACUAACUUAUAGUCAAUACUAACCAACUUGUAUCUACCUAUAAUAAACUUCUAAAAGUCUACAGAAUAUAAAGUGUAGAUUAACAUUUUCCAUUUUGGAUGAACAAUACAUUUAUAAAAAAAAAAAAAAAUACAUUGUAACUAAGUAAUGCGCCUUAGAAAAAAAUAUAAGCCGUAAUCGCAUCGAUCGGCUAAAAAAACUUGGGGAAGAAAGUGGCAAAUUUUACAUUAUGUGGUCCAUUUCACCACUAUGAUAGAUCGAUCUUGGACCAACUCAGAGCCAUGUUAUAUGUUCACUCCAAUCCACAUAAUGACAAUCAUAUUAUGAGCACGACCACUCGAUGGGAACGGUCACCUCACAUUAGCAAGGACACAUGUACGAAAUAAGAAAGUGAUCCGAGAAUCACAUAGCCUCUCAAUUACAACCCUAACAAAUAUCUUCUAAAAAUCCUAUGGAAUGUCAUAUAAAUGAUCAAAUUAUAGUUAUACUAAAAGUUACAUUUAUUUAAUAAUAUUGUAUCAGAUAAAUAUUUUUUUAAAUCGAUCAAUAAAUUAAAAUUUAAUAUCAUAUAAAUUAUAUCUAUAAAUUUUUGACAAUAAUAUAUAAUCACUUCUUAUAUCAUCAUAAUGCGUUAAUGUUAAUGUCUGUUGGGUGGGCUCACUCCUCAAGUGGAACCCACCAAUUUUAUUAAUAUUAUUAUUGUUAUUAUUAUUGAAAUAAAAGAAAGAAAGAAAAAAAAAGGAUUUUAAUGGGUUUGGCCCAUGUGAAGGAAAUAAAAGGGAUUUAGAAAUCCCUAAGAAGCAUGAAUGAGAACAGUUUCGAAAAAGCAAAGGAAAAGUAGAACGGCAGCCAGAGAACAAAAAAGAAAGGUUUGGUUCUGGUGGUGGUAACAGAUGUGUAGCAAACUUGCUUCGUUUGACCUACAAUUUUGAUAUGUUAUUUCUACCAAUGAGUUUGUUAUUUUAAUAUAUUGUCUGAGUAGUUUUAUCUUCUCUAAGAGUUACUUUAGAAACCCACUUUAGUGGAAGGUUGUUAUUGUUGAUUGAUGUUCUCUAUUGUUAUUAGGAAGUCUCUGGUGACCCAUUAAUUAUUAUAGUGGAAGUUUUUACUGGACUAGGUCUCGUGGUUUUUUUCUCUCCAUUUGAGGGAAGUUUUCCACGUUGAAAAUUAUGUUUGUCUCAUAUUUAAUUUUCUACCAAAUAUUUUUGUUUUGUGGAAUUGUAUUUUCUGUUUGACCAUUUAUUUGCACAAGUGGGGGAAAAAUAUUAUGUAUUAUUGAGAUAGUUAUCACUAAUUAUCUCUGGUUUUUCCCAAUAAAGUGGUAUCUAGAGCUCAAUUAUUUGAUUUGUGCAUUUAAAUGGAGGAGGAAAAUAAAUUUCCAAAUAUGAUUAAACUCAACUCUUCUAACUACACAUUUUGAAAGACUCUCAUGGAAGACAUGUUAUAUAGUAAAUAUUUGUAUGAUCCAAUUGAGGAUAACAUUGCUAAACCUGCAGAUAAAUCUGACGCUGACUGGAAGAAGAUGAAUAGAAAGGCAGUGGCGUUGAUCAGACAGUGGUUGGAUCUGAGUGUAUAUCCACAUGUUGAAACUGAAAUAGAUGCUAACAAAAUGUGGGAAAAAUUAAAAGAGUUGUAUGAACGAAAGAAUGUGCAAAUAUAAGCAUUCUUGAUUUAGAAGCUGGUGGAUAUGAAAUACAAAGAUGGGAAUUCAAUGACAGAGCAUAUGAGUAUUUUUCAUAAUACAGUGAAUCAGUUGACAACCGCAUAAAUUAAAUUAGAUGAUGAGUUGAAAGCAUUGUUAUUGUUGAGUUCCUUGCCUGAUAAUUGGGAAGUCCUUGUUGCGACGUUGACCAAUUCAGCUCCAAGUGGAAAGUUGAAAAUGUAAAUAGUUAAAGAGAGCAUGUUAAAUGAAUAAGCUCGAAGAAGGGAAUGUGGUUUGAUUUGUUCUUCCUCAAAGUCAGAAGCACUAGUUACAGAGUCACGGGGGAGAAGUCAAUCUAGAAACUUCCAUAAACGAGACAACUCUGAAAGUCGUUGCAAGUCGAGAACUAGAAAAGAAGUUAUAUGUUAUUAUUGUGGUAAAGCGGGUCACAUAAAAAGAAAUUGCAGGUUCCUUAAGAGAGAUCAAUCAAGGGAAAGAAAUGACAAAAAAGAGAAGAAAAAUGAUAACGAUACAACAACAAUUACAUCUGUUAGUAAUGUCUACAUUGUUUGUGAUGAUAAUUCCAUAAACCUUGCAUGUUAGGAUUCAACUUAGAUUAUUGAUUCGGGUGUCUCAUAUCAUGUUACUCCUAACCGUGAUUUCUUCUCACGUUACAGUGCUGGUGAUUUUGGCAUGGUAAAAAUAGGAGAUGAAUGAGUUUAUAAAAUUAUCGGUAUGGGAGAUGUUUGGGUUGAAACUGGGAUUGGCUGCAAGCUUCAAUUGAAGAAUGUUAGACAUGUUCUUGAUGUUUGUCUCAAUUUGAUUUUAGUCAAAGCCUUGGAUAUUGAUGGUUAUCAUACUUACUUUGGUGGUGGUAUAUGUAAAAUCACCAAAGAGUCCCUAGUGGUUGCAAAGGAACAAAGUUUCACUUCUCUCUAUAGGAUGCCUACGAAGCUAUGCAAGGAAGAAGUGAAUGCAAUUCAAGAUGCAUCUUAUGAUUUAUGGCAUAUGCGCCUCAGUCACUUGAGUGAGAAAUGACUCAACAUACUUGCGAAGAAAAAUUAUCUUCUUGUAAAAGGUACGUCUUUAAAAACUUGCACUUAUUGUUUUACUGGAAAACAACAUAGAGUUUAUUUUCAUAAUAUUGGUACUAAAAUGAGGCAAAAUAUUCUUGAUUUAAUUCAUACUGAUGUUUGUAUGAUGAAUAGUAAAUCUCUUGGUGGUGCAUCAUAAAGAAAAGUGUGGGCAUGUCCUUUGUGUAGUACCCUAAUUUUGUCCAAUUUAUUUAAAAAUAAAUCAAAAAGGAAAUAUAUAUAUUAAAAAGGGAAAUAAAAUAAUUACAAUGAUUAGGCUCAUCAAUUUACAAUACCAAAUCAGUUUACAAUUACAAUUCUAAAAUUAAAUCAAAUUACAAUUUCAUAUUACAAUCAAAUUGCAACAAAAAAUAAAACCAAAUUAAAUUACAAUAAGAUUUAGGUCAAACUUUUUCAAAUUAAGCCAGCCUGCUUUGGCUCAGUUUUGUUGCUGAUGCUGCCUUUCUGUUCCUGAUGCAGUGUCAUGGUUGAUGCACAAGCCAUGCUCAUUGAUACAUACCUGUUGUAACUAAUUAGAGAAACUGAAAACCAUUUUUUUUACCAGUCAGACCCAAUAUACAUGAUAAAAACCAAAUGACAAAGUUUUGAGUUUAAAAAAAAGAAACUAAGGGACAAAUGAAAAAGGUCAGCAAACAAUCAGAUAAAACAAAUAAAAGCUAAAAUCGUGAAUAGAUCAGAGGUGCAGAAAAAAAACAGAUUAUGAGUAAAUAAUUUAAACAUCAAACAAGAAAUUGAUGGAGAAGGACAAAGGCAGGCAAGAAAGCAACUAAACAGAUAAAAAACUCUAUAAAAACACCUUAUCAAUUUCAAAAAAGGGGGAUCGGAGAUUAACUCUACUAAAAAAAAUACACUUACAAAGAAGGAAAAAGGAAAUAAAUCAGAAGCAGUUUUUAGUAACAAACAACAAACACGAAAUAUUAAGGUAUUUUUUUCUUCUUGUACAAUAUAUAUCUUGCUAUUUAUCAUCAUCAUCAACAUUACUCUUUUAAUUAAAAAAUGUUAACUUUUUUUUUAUUUUAUUUUAAUGAACGAAAACAAUUAAAAAUGCGAACAUGAUGUUGUCUUCUUCAUUGUUGUCAUUGUCGUCGUCGGCACCGUCACCAUCGCCGAGGUCGCCGUCGCCGUUGGCACUAAGGCCGCCGUUGGUGCUAAGGUCGCCGUUGGUGUAAAGGCCGUUGUUGGCGUUAUGUCUGCAGUCACUAUUUCCUUGUUCCUCUUCAUUUUCCUUUUGUUCGAUUGAUGCAUCCAUCCAUAUUUUCCCUUCUAUUUUCAAAACAGAGAAUGGAACAAGGAAGAAGAAAAGGUUUCUUGUUUGUUUGUUUCCUGUUUCCCGAGCGGCUGCCUCCCCCCUCUAACUAGGGUUUCUUGUUAGUUUGUUUUGGACCUUUUUUUUAAAGUUAGUUUGGGCUUGGGUUUUAAACAAAAAAAGCAAUAAUUUGUUCAAACUCAGCCCAUUUAAAACUUUUUAUUUUAUUUUAUUUUUUACAAAAAUGGUUAAUUUUCUUUCAUAACUAAAUACCAAUUUCAUCAUAAAAAAUGCAAAUAAACAUUAUAUUAAAGAUUAAUUAAAUGUGAACUCUUUUUAAUCUUUGAGUUGUUAGAACAUAAGUGGUACAACUUGAUAGUUCUAAAACUCUCUUUAUUUCAUUUAUUUAUUUAUUUAUUUAUUUUAUUUAUUUAAUUUAUUUAUUUUAUUUACUUUAUUCUAUUUACUUAUUUAUUUAUUCAUUCAUUUAUUUAUUUUAAUGAACUAAUUUAAAAUCGACUUAUUUAUUAGAUGUAACUCUUUUUAAUUUUUGAGUUGUUAGGACACAAGUGGUACAAUUUGAUAGUUCUAAAACUCUCUUUAUCUUAUUUAUUUAUUUUAUUGUAUUUGUUUAUUUAUUUAUUUAUUUUAAUUAACUAAUCUAAAAUCGACUUAUUUAUUAGAUGUAACUCUUUUUUAUCUUUGAGUUGUUAAAACACAAGUUGUCUACUUGGUGGUUUUGAAACUCAAUUUAAAAAUCGAGAGUAAUAAAAUAUUUUUUUAGAGGAUUAAACUAGAUGUGACAUCUUCUUUAUUCCUUGAGUUUUGGGACACAAGUUGUACAACUUGAUCGUCCUAAAACUCAUAUUUUAAAAUAUUUACUCAAAUCAAACUCUUUUAUUUUUUUUUUUCUAUUUUUGUCAAAACAUUUUUUAUCACAAAAUAAAUUUUCUUUAAAACACACUCAACACAUCCGUAUUUUUUUAACCAAGAACUACGUAACUUUGAUUUCUCCAUCGCACCGGGAGAUACGUAGGAGCAAGAUCACAUUCUUGUCAAGCACAUAAAUAAAAAUUUCUUCUUUUGUCCUUUAUUUGUUAAGUACAUAUUUAUUUCAAAAUCAUAUUUUAAAAAUAGUAAUAAUUGUUAUUCAUAUUUAAUAAUAAAGAAAAAUAAAUAUACUUCAGUUAAAAUUAAUCUUGCACAAUUAAUCAUAGGUAAUCGUAUUUUAACGGAUGUCGUAGGGUGCUAAUACCUUCCCUACGCAUAAUUGACUCCCGAACUCAAAAUUUGGUUUCAAAGACCAUUUUUUUUUUUUCAUUUUUUCUAUUUUUAAUGGUUUUCCAAUAUUUUCCCUAUUUUAAAAUAAAUUUUGGUGGCGACUCCAUUGAAUUCGAGAAACACUCGAAAUUUUAGGCCCCGACAGCUGUCGACUCCACUGGGGACAUUUUAGAGAGUCAGGCCUAAUAAAUUAUUAUAAUAAAUUAGUUGAUAUUAUAAUAAAUUAGUUGAUAUUAUAAUAUUUUUAAGCUUGUAGAUCAUUUUUAUUUAUUUAUUUAUUUAUUUAUUUAUUUAUUGAUUCAUGUAUUUAUUUAGUUAUUUAUUUAUUUGUCUAUUUAUUAUUUAUUUAUUAUUUAUUAUAUGUUUUAUUAUCGUUUUGGAGUUAUUGAAUCAUACUUAUUCUACACCCUACACUUUUAUUAAGACACACACUUAUGUGUAGAACCUUACACCCGGGUUUGAACAAAACUUAAGUUUAGUUUCGAGGUUGUGUAGUGGUAGCCUUCUGGAUGUACAUCCUGUUUGGUUAGCAUGAAAAUCUCACCCGUAGUUUGAUCUUGUUGAGGGUAUUGUCACUCCAAAUAGUUUACCUAUUGUUGUUGACAAUAUUCCAAAAUGAGAUUUUUGGCUCUAGGGACCGUGUUUAGAACUAUAGAGCCACCUUUGUGAGAGUUUCACUACAUAAGCCAAUAGACCCUUUCAUUAUAAGAAUAUCCAUAUAAGCAAAAAGCACCUCAUACAUUCAUUCAAAAUGUUAUAUAUUCAUAACAGGCAUUCUACAUAAUUGCAUUCAUAUCUCAUGACAUUGUUUCUUUUGGAAAAUGAACUGACAUUUUGCAUCAAUUUUCAGGAUUGUUGGGGAAUUAUAAGAACCUUAGUCACGUGUUAAAUUAAAGUGGACAAUGGGAUUGGAAAAGAGAAAAACUUUACUUUUAAAGUUCAAACAACCUGAUUUGAAAAGUUUAAGAGACAUUGGCAAUCAAAUGAAAACUAUACAACGUGAGAGUUGCUUUUGCAAAUAUGGGAAUAUCUUAAAUCUCUUGGCAGUAAAUGUGCAAAUAGGGGCACUCACGGCGUUGGCUCAGUACUACGACCCUCUCUUAAGAUGUUUCACCUUUCAAGGCUUUCAGUUGGCCCCGACAUUAGGGGAAUUUGAGCGAAUAUUGGGUUAUUCCCUAGAGAAAGGAAAUCCUUAUCGAUAUACUGGGCAACCACCAAGUUUGGAUGCAAUUUCUGAAGUGUUGAAAAUCGACAUAAGAGAGUUGAUAAGUACAAAAGAAGAAAAAUGAGUCAUUCAUGGUUUUUCGAGAAAUUAUCUAGAGCAAAAGUGUCACGAUUUAGCCGUUAAAAAAGAAUGGAGUACUUUUAUAGAACCUUUCAAGACUUUCAGUUGGCCCCGACAUUAGAGGAAUUUGAGCGAAUAUUGGGUUAUUCCCUAGAAAAAGGAAAUCCUUAUCGAUAUACUGGGCAACCACCAAGUUUGGAGGCAAUUUCGGAAGUAUUGAAAAUCGAUAUAAGAGAGUUGGCAAGUACAAAAGAAGAAAAGGGAGCCAUUCAUGGUUUUUCAAGAAAAUAUCUAGAGCAAAAGUGCCACGAUUUAGCCAUUAAAAAAGAAUGGAGUGCUUUUAUAGAUGUUUUGGCUCUAAUUAUCUAUGGUAUUGUUUUAUUCCCAAACCUUGAUAAUUUUGUUGAUUUUGCUGCUAUCAAUGUCUUCUUAUCUUUUAACAAACAUAAGCAAAAUCCAGUUCCCGCGAUUCUUGCUGAUGUAUACUACUCUCUACAUAUGCGACAUGAGAAGAAAGGGGGAACAAUUUUGUGUUGUGCUCCAGUGCUGUAUAUCUGGUUUAUGUCUCAUAUGUUCAAGAAAGGGUAUCAUAUUGGAAUUAAAGAUAAUCGUGAAUGGGCUCAAAGUAUAGCUAGCCUUACUGGAGACAUAAUUUCAUGGUAUCACAGAGAACAAGGGGUGGAGGAAGUAAUAUGUCAAUGCGGAGAUUUCCCAAAUGUGCCUCUCAUGGGAACCAAAGGAUGUAUUAAUUACAAUCCAACGGUAGCUUUGAGACAACUUGGCUACCCUAUGUUGAAAAAACCAGAUGAUAAAUCAUUGGAAGCUUUUGUUUUGCACAAUACGGGUAUAGUAGACCCACUGAUGUUGCGAAGGAUAAGCCGAACUUGGGAAAUGAUCAUUAGAAAAGGAAAAGUACUUGGAUGCAGAAGUUGCAGCACAAAAGAACCCUAUCAACAAUGGGUAAAAAAUAGAGUCCAAGAAAUCAAGUUGCCUUUCCACAGUACACCCUCGAGCGAUCAGGAAAUAUCUGAACCUACCCUUGCCACCAAUGGAGAAAUAGAAGAACUCAAAGCAUCAUUGUUGAAAUCUAAAGAGGAGAAAAAAGAGCUACAGGCGAAGUUAGAAAAAGUCUCCCAAUAGAAUGAGAACUUACGCUUAGAAAACACAUGUAAAAGUCAGUUUAUUGAAAUAAGUAACAAGAGGUUGAAAGUUGAAAAAGAAAAUAAACUUGACAUACAAGAUUGUUUGAGAGGUGCAAAUGAAGAGUUAGAUGUACGAAAGCAAGAAAAGAAUGCAGCUAUCGAAGAGGCCUAUAUGUGGAAGCAAUUGUGGACAAUAUCAGCAAGCUCUGAAAAGAAGAUAAAAAAAGAGUUUGAAGAUUUAAAGAAACAACUGAAAGAAAUGGUAGCUGAGUAUGAGAGUCAAGUAAGGAAUAAGAGGCAAGAGAAAGAAGAAAUUGAAAAACUACUCUCAAAACAUCAAGACGCACUAAGAAUAGAAAUGGAGAAUUCUAGUGAGCUGAAGAAUUACAUUGAUUACCAAGAAAAGAUCUAUAGUGACCUAAAGGACGAAACCUUAUAUUGGGAGGAUCGUUUUAUGGUGUUGCUAGGUCAAUUAAAGAAUCAAGAGAUCUAUAAAGAGCUGGAAGAUAAAGGAAGACAUUGGAAAGACUGCUUUUCAAAAUUGGAAGUGCUAGCUAAUCAAGCAGUCUUAAAAAUUCCAAAGCAUCUAAGAGAGAUUGAUGCGGUAAUUCAUCCAUUGAAUACUCCAGUCAAAGUCUACAAGUUCGUUGAAUAUUGCAAAAAUUUGAUAGAAGAAUUGGAGGAGAAGAUUGGUUGUCCUAUUAAAGGAGAAGAUUGAAAUCCCAUAGUCAAUGUAGUUAUUAAUUUGAAUAUGAUGUACUCUUUUUCUUAUCAAUGAAGGAUUUUCUAUUUUGAUUUCGAGUCCUCAUAUUUUCUUCACUAAUAAUUUGUUAUUGCUAUUACCUAAGGCAUAUGAUUCCCCACUAUCCAACUAUCAUAAUUAACUAAUUUAUUUCAUUUCCAUCACAUUCAUAUUUUAAUACUCAUAGAAAUUUUAUUUUUUUAUUAUUUUUUUAAUAUAAAAAAACAGAAAAAAAAAUCAAUAAAGCUGUUUCCCCGACAUCCUUAUCAAACGCGCGUGAAUUCCAAGAUCAUGGAUGAACUCGAGCAAAACCAAUAGGUGAUAAGAGCGGAUGUCAACCAACUGAAGGAAAAGGUCGAUCGAAUCUUGGAAGCUAUACAGGCUUUGGCAAGGAAGGAGAAUACAGAUGGGGAUCCUCCAAUUGUAAAUGAAGAACACCAAACUACUCCUUCUCAUCCACCGGGUUUUACCCCGACUAACCAACAAUUCCGCACUGCAACUAUGCAAUUUCCUAUAUAUGGUCUCCCGCCUGGUUAUACUCCGCCUGUAGUCAUUAACCCCAUAGAAAAUAACCAAAACCACUCAGCUGUCAAUCCCCAAAACUUAAACCAAUCACAAAUCCCACCUCAUCUGGGCUAUGUGCCACCCCAAAACACUAUACCCACAGAAAAUAUUCCAUAUAGUGUACCUCAAGUGCCCCAUUUUGAUGCUAACGGGAAUUGGCAUCAACCUCACAUUGGGGAUGAUACACAAUCAAAGGAAAAAUUCCAUGUCUUGGAAGAGCGAAUAAAAGCAAUUGAGGGGUAUAAUGUUUAUGGCCUAGAAGCUUUCAAAAAAUUCCAUGUCUUAUAGGAGCGAAUAAAAGCAAUUGAGGGGCAUAACGUUUACGGUCUCGAAGCUUUCGACAUGUGUUUGGUUCCUGAUGUGACUAUCCCUCCAAAAUUCAAGGUUCCUGACUUUGAAAAAUACAAAUGCAACACAUGUCCUAAAAAUCAUCUAACUAUGUAUUGCAGAAAAAUGUCUUCUCAUGCUCAUAACGAUAAACUUCUCAUUCAUUUUUUUCAAGAUAGUUUGAAUGGGGCAUCGUUAAGUUGGUAUAUGCAUCUUGAGCGAAGUCGUAUUCGUUUGUGGAAAUACUUGGCUGAUGCCUUCUUGAGGCAAUACAGGUACAACAUUGACAUGGCCCCUGAUAGGAUGCAAUUGCAAAAUUCAUUGAAAAAGGACAACGAAGCUUUCAAAGAAUACGCGCAACGGUGGAGGGAAAUUGCAUCACAAGUAGAACCUCCUUUAUCUGAAAAAGAAAUGGUUGGUAUGUUUAUGGAUACUCUCCAAUUGCCUUUUUAUGAUAAGAUGAUUGGGAGUAUGUCAUCAAACUUUUAUGACAUUGUCAUGAUAGGAGAAAGGAUAGAAAGUGGGAUGAGGAGUGGCAAGAUUGUAUGUGCAGCAACUGGCAUAAAAAGACCCCAAGCGACCUUCACAAAAAAGAAAGAAGGGGACGUUAACGCUAUAAUUGUAAACCCCAAAGUCUCCUAUUUUCCACCUAUUAAUUCUUAUCGACCCCCAAACUUUCAGCCCCCGAUACCACGAACUCCUUACAUUUAGGGGUGGGAAUAGGCCAGGCCGUCCGUCAGGGGCCUAUGGCCUGGCCUACUUAUGGCCUGGCCUGGCCUGUUUAAUAAAAAGGUCAGGCUCAUGNNNNNNNNNNNNNNNNNNNNNNNNNNNNNNNNNNNNNNNNNNNNNNNNNNNNNNNNNNNNNNNNNNNNNNNNNNNNNNNNNNNNNNNNNNNNNNNNNNNNNNNNNNNNNNNNNNNNNNNNNNNNNNNNNNNNNNNNNNNNNNNNNNNNNNNNNNNNNNNNNNNNNNNNNNNNNNNNNNNNNNNNNNNNNNNNNNNNNNNNNNNNNNNNNNNNNNNNNNNNNNNNNNNNNNNNNNNNNNNNNNNNNNNNNNNNNNNNNNNNNNNNNNNNNNNNNNNNNNNNNNNNNNNNNNNNNNNNNNNNNNNNNNNNNNNNNNNNNNNNNNNNNNNNNNNNNNNNNNNNNNNNNNNNNNNNNNNNNNNNNNNNNNNNNNNNNNNNNNNNNNNNNNNNNNNNNNNNNNNNNNNNNNNNNNNNNNNNNNNNNNNNNNNNNNNNNNNNNNNNNNNNNNNNNNNNNNNNNNNNNNNNNNNNNNNNNNNNNNNNNNNNNNNNNNNNNNNNNNNNNNNNNNNNNNNNNNNNNNNNNNNNNNNNNNNNNNNNNNNNNNNNNNNNNNNNNNNNNNNNNNNNNNNNNNNNNNNNNNNNNNNNNNNNNNNNNNNNNNNNNNNNNNNNNNNNNNNNNNNNNNNNNNNNNNNNNNNNNNNNNNNNNNNNNNNNNNNNNNNNNNNNNNNNNNNNNNNNNNNNNNNNNNNNNNNNNNNNNNNNNNNNNNNNNNNNNNNNNNNNNNNNNNNNNNNNNNNNNNNNNNNNNNNNNNNNNNNNNNNNNNNNNNNNNNNNNNNNNNNNNNNNNNNNNNNNNNNNNNNNNNNNNNNNNNNNNNNNNNNNNNNNNNNNNNNNNNNNNNNNNNNNNNNNNNNNNNNNNNNNNNNNNNNNNNNNNNNNNNNNNNNNNNNNNNNNNNNNNNNNNNNNNNNNNNNNNNNNNNNNNNNNNNNNNNNNNNNNNNNNNNNNNNNNNNNNNNNNNNNNNNNNNNNNNNNNNNNNNNNUUUUUAUUUAGAAUUAUUUCUUGAGUUUAUCUACUUUGUAUAAUUAUAUAAUAUAUUUUAUUUUAUCAUUUUUAUAUUGUUCAGGAAAUGUCUUCUCCCUUAGAAAGAAGUGAACCAAUUUCAUCUACUCAUAUGACUAAUAAUGAGGCCAGCGAACAUAUGUCUAUAGAUUCAACUCAAGUAGAAGUUAACACACAGACAAAUGAAAAUGACACCGCUCUAGAAAACAGAAGUCCAAUUAUUGGGAGAAAAAGGAAAAAAAACAUCAGUUGUUUGGAAUGAUUUUGAUGAGGUUGAAAUCUCUAAAGGUGUGAAGAAAGCUGUUUGCAAAUAUUGUAAACUAAAAAUGUCUACUGGUGGAUCAGGAGCUAGCACUAGUCAUUUGAAAAGACACGCUAGAGGUUGCAAUCAAAAGAAGUUGCAGACGGCUGCUGAAACAAGACAAGUCAUCAUUCCAUUUCAGCCAUCAAAGUCAAGUAACCCUUUUAUUAGUACCGGUGUUAGAUACUCUAAUGAAAAGAUGAGGGAAAUAAAGGUAUUUACGUUCUUAAGACUAAAUCUUUUUGUGCUUUGGACUGGUGGAGGAACAAUAGCAUGAAAUAUAAGAUUUUGUCUAAAAUGGCUGCAGAUGUACUAGCUAUUCCAAUCUCAACUGUGGCAUAUGAGUCCACAUUUAGUGCAGGAGGUAGAGUUAUUGAUGAAUUUCGAUCUAAAUUAAACGAAGAAUCUGUUGAAGCUCUAAUUUGUGGCGGAGAUUGGUUUCGUCAUAAGUAUAACGUGAAGAAAAAAUCAAAGGUUAAUAUUUUUUAUCAAGUAGUAUUUAUUCAUUUUUUUUUUAAAUUUGGUCAUAUAUUUAUUUAUUACUUUUUAGUUAAGUGUCUAACAUAUAUGUAUUUUUUUCUUUUGUUUUUGAAGGUUGAUAAAAAAGAGAUACAAAUCACCUUGAAGAUUUGAUAUCAUUUUUUUGUAAUUCAUUGGACUUUGAAUGUGUUUUGUUGGAUGAUAUGUGUAACUGUUUAUGGGGUUCAUUUGGUUUUAUUUGUAAUUUUUGAAGGACUUUUUAGAAUUUGUUAAUUAUGAAUUCAUUUUGUUUUUUUCUUUUUGUUUUAUGGGAAGUUUGUUGCAUUACAAACUUGUUAGUUAUAAUUUUAUUAGCUUUGAUUAUAAUUUUAUUAGUUUUCCUUGUAUAUAAAGGCCUAAUUUAGCCUAUUUAAAACAAAAAUAUAAAAUAUAACAUUUAAAUAUUUUAAUGCGAAUAAGGCUUUUAAAUAGGCUUACAGGCCAGGCCAUGAUAGGCCGUAGGCCAGGCUCAGGCCGAAAAAAAAGCCUAUGAUAGGUCGUAGGCCAGGCUUAGGCCUAAAAAAUUCAUCGUAGGUCAGGCUCAUGCCUUUCAAAGCCUGGCCUGGCCUGGCCUAUUCCCACCCCUACUUACAUUCCUUAUCCAUAUGUGGCUGCAACCACACAAGCUUCAUACCCUCAAUAUCACCCUUCAAGACCACCUUUUUAUCAACCACCACCUACCGCAUUUUCCCAACAAAGUCAAUGGAACCAAAAUCCAAUCUCAAAUCACUACAGACCACCUUCCAAUCGAGAAAAAAGAAUAAACCGUUUUGACCCAAUUCCUGUCACGUACAGUGAAUUGUUGCCUCACCUACUUCAAAAUUCAAUGGUAGUCCUAAGGCCAAUGAAACCUCUAGAACCACCAUUCCCUAAAUGGUAUAAUCCAAACGUCAAAUGUGAAUACCAUGCCGGAGCCGUGGGGCAUUCUGUCGAAGAUUGUCAAGCCUUAAAAACUAAAGUGUAAGAAUUGAUUAAUUCAAAAUGGCUUACCUUCAAGGAAGACGGUCUCAAUGUAGGGAAUAAUCCUUUGCCGGGUCACAAAGAUGCCGCUGUCAAUUUCAUUGAAGAAGAGAUAGACCAGUACAAAAAAGAUGAUUAUGUAUCGACCAUAGAGCCAUGCAUGGAAAAUGAUAGAUCUUUUCCAAGACCAUUGGAAAUCCUCUAUAGAAAAGAGAAUCCUAAGCCAACUCAUAGUGGGAAAAAUGCAAUAAUUGUCCAAGCACCAACCUCUUUUCCCUUUGAAAAUAACAAGGCGGUACCAUGGAGUUAUGAUGUCAUAUCCUAUUUAGUCAACCACCAAUCAGGCGAUAGCUCUAAAUAUCAAGGUACUGAUGUCACCAAUAUUUCAGGGAUUGGUGGGAUGACCCGUAGUGGUCGAGUAUACACUCCUUAACAACUAAGGAAAAAGGAAGGUCAUGGAGAGAAAGAGCUUACGUACCAUGCCAUAAAAGGAUCAGAAACUUGCAAAAAGACAGUGCCUGAAGAAGAAGCUAACAAAUUUUUGAAGUUUAUCAAGCAAAGUGAGUAUAAGGUGGUAGAUCAACUAAAUCAAACCCCUUCCAAGAUAUCUAUUCUUUCGUUAUUAUUAAACUCUAAAGCGCAUUGAAGAGCAUUGAUGAAAGUUUUAAAUGAGGCCCAUGUUACUCAUGAUAUUACUGUAGACCAGUUUGAUGGAGUUGUCGGUAAUAUCACCGCCAGUAGCAGGUUGAGUUUUAGCGAUAUCGAAUUACUAGCUGAGGGGAUGGAGCAUAAUAAAGCACUACACAUCUCUGUGAGGUGUCAUGAUCAUAUUCUUGCACGAGUGCUAGUUGAUAAUGUUUCAUCAUUAAAUGUCAUGCCGAAAUCGACACUUUCAAAACUAUGUGUUAAUGGGACUUGUUUGAAGCCGAGUGCUAUGGUGGUGAAAGCGUUUGAUGGAUCUAGAAGACAAGUUGUUGGUGAGAUUGACCUGCCAAUUCAAAUCGGACCCCAUAACUUUGGAAUAACUUUCCAAGUUAUGGAUAUUAAACCGGCGUACAACUGCCUUUUAGGGAGACCGUGGAUUCACGCUGCUGGAGCAGUGACAUCCACCCUCCACCAAAAGCUAAAGUUUAUAAUAAACAAUAAGUUGGUGAUAAUAUCUGGGAAAGAAGAUAUGAUAGUGAGUCAUCUAUCUUCUACGAGAUAUAUUGAAGAAGCGGAGGAAGCCAUAGAGACUUCCUUCCAAGCAUUAGAAAUCGCCAAUGUUGUCUCAAUGGGUGAAGGAUUUCGUUUAAAAGAACCAAAACUAUCUACCACAUCGUUGAAGUCUACAAAAUCCAUGUUGGAAGGAGGAGCUUUUGUUAAAUUUGGGAAAUUGAUAGAAAUACCAGAAAAGAAGGUUAAGUACGGGUUGGGAUAUGUACCUACCAAAGCUGAUCAAGAGAACGCGGUAAAAGAAAAAUGAGAAAGCAAGCUAGCUCGUUGGGAAAAUCGGGUAUCAAAUUCACAAAGGAUCACUAUUUGUGACAUUCAUCAAACCUUUCAAAGCGCCGGAAUAAUAUAUGCUGAUCAAGUGGUUGUUCUGGAAGAGGAUCAUGUUGAUGAUGAUACUCUCGAAUUGGUGUACCCUUGUUCUCCAAACACCAAUCUCAAUAAUUGGAAGAUCAUCGAGUUUCCCGUGUUUUUUGAUUCAUGUUCAAAGUAAUUAUGUAUUUUAACUCUUUUUGCUCUGCCCAAGGCUAUAAGGAUAACUAAUUUGGGCGCAUGUAUUUCAAUUUCCUACUUAUUAUCAAUAAACGCAUUUUUGAAUUCUCCAACUAUUUUUCUUUUUUUCUUUUUUGGCAAUCUUUAUUCAUAUUUUUUUUCCUUUUUCUUCUUAAAUUUAAACCAUGCAGAGUCGAAAAUGAAUAUGUUGAAAAUAGCAGCGCUAGAACACUUCCUUGUAAUUUUGAACACCCAAUUAAUCACGCUGAUGAGGAUUGUGAAGACGAUUGUGAGCCUCCCCCAGAACUAGAAAGGUUAAUUGAACAUGAAGCUAAUGUUGGUGUUAAUGACCUCUAUCCUUAGGAAGUUUUAUACAAUAUUUUCAACUAGAUUAUCUAAUUCUUUCCUAAGUGAUGAACUUAAUAUCAAAACCAACUUGUUUAAUAUUAAUUCCAAUUUAACAGUAAAAGAUUCAAAAAUUUAUUCAAAACUAAGAUUCAAGAACACAUGCAUUAUCAAAAUAAAUAGUAUAGAGAUAGAAAAGUGUGCACCCUGGAUUUUUAUACUGGUUCGACUAUCAGUUUGAUAGUCUACGUCCAGUCCUGGAAUCACUCACCGAUUACAGCCUUUAUUAGAAAUGAUUUGAGUAUGUUUACAGACUUUCUAGCACCUCACUGGUUAUACAUCCAACUCAACAUCAAUCUUCUACAAAAACCAAUCUAUCCUUAAGAACUACUCGCCAAGCUCUAGCAAGAUCAGAUUGAGAUCUCUUUUAGAUGAUCACACACUCUAAAAGAUGAUCACCAGUUUCACAAUACUGGAUUUCCACACACUUUCUUUUACAAAGAUAAUUCUUGCAAAAAGACUAAAGAAAACUUGAUUCAAUCACUAAGAAGUCUCACACAAAAUAUUUGCCAAUAAUGUUUGUGUGUUAUAACAAUUUCUCUCAAAGUGUAUUAUUUGAAAAGUUCAGUUCUUUCUAUGUAUUCUGUUAUAUGUUUUGAGGAUUGUGACUGAUUCAGUUUAUAUAGUUUCAGAAAAACUUUAGACAAAUCGAUUUCCCAAUCGAUUUUAUUAAUGUGUAUUACUAGCUCAAUCGAUUUCCCAAUCGAUUUCGCGUUUCUUGUUUUUUUUUCAAUUCUUGAAACAGAUGAACUAAUCGACUUGCUAAUCGAUGUUUUUAAUGCAUAAAUUAGAAAUUGAUACUCAGUUCAUAAUAGAGUCGAUUGAGUAAUCGAUUUAUAGUUGUUUUGUUUUUAAAAUGUAAGAUCAAACAAUUGAUUACUCAGUCGAUUCAUGUUUACUAUCAUAACGAUUUGGCAAUGGGCUAAUGUCUCCCUGUAACUCAGAUACUCAAUCCAAUCGAUUUGCCAAUCGACUGAUGUCCUCCUGUAACUCAGUUAUUUAAUCAACUCGAUUUGCCAAUCGACUGAUUUCUUCCUAUAACUCAGUUAUUUAGUUACAAUUGAUGUGCCAAUCGAAUAUGUAGUAUGUCUCUGAUAAAUGAUAAACUGAUUCAUUUAUGCAAUCGAUUAUCCAAUCGAUUUCGUUUAAUCACAGAACACAGGUCUGUAUCAGCCUUUAAGUAAUCGAUUGCCCAAUCGAUUGACUUAGUUAAAGCUUGGUUCUAUGACUUAGAAAAUCGAUUGCCCAGUUGAUUUCCCAAUUGAUUGAUUUACAUACUUAUUUUAUGAUUUCAGUUUUUAAUUGGCAAAUAUUAGAUGUGUGAAAUCAUAAUGAUGAAUCUAACUAAUAAACACUAUUAACACUAGACACAUUUAUAUAUAAUCUUCAAGCCUUAUAUGAUAUGAUCAAUCUUUGCUUGAUUGCUUGAGAUCCAAGUUUUGUCCAGGUUUUGUCCAAGUGUAGUGUUUGAUUCUUUCAUGAAAUGUAUCUCAACUCAAACUAUUAGAUUAACCAGAUAAUGCAUAUACAUUGUAUGUUUGGGAGUUACAUCAAAAUCACAGAGGCAUAUAUCUUACAACAAAGAUAAUCCAACCCUAUCGAUUAUCCAAUCGAUUUCGUUUAAUCACAGAACACAGGUCUGUAUCAGCCUUUAAGUAAUCGAUUGCCCAAUCGAUUGACUUAGUUAAAGCUUGGUUCUAUGACUUAGAAAAUCGAUUGCCCAGUUGAUUUCCCAAUUGAUUGAUUUACAUACUUAUUUUAUGAUUUCAGUUUUUAAUUGGCAAAUAUUAGAUGUGUGAAAUCAUAAUGAUGAAUCUAACUAAUAAACACUAUUAACACUAGACACAUUUAUAUAUAAUCUUCAAGCCUUAUAUGAUAUGAUCAAUCUUUGCUUGAUUGCUUGAGAUCCAAGUUUUGUCCAGGUUUUGUCCAAGUGUAGUGUUUGAUUCUUUCAUGAAAUGUAUCUCAACUCAAACUAUUAGAUUAACCAGAUAAUGCAUAUACAUUGUAUGUUUGGGAGUUACAUCAAAAUCACAGAGGCAUAUAUCUUACAACAAAGAUAAUCCAACCCUAUCAAGAACCUUUUGAAGUGAUCAAUUUAGGGACUGAGCAUGAUAAGAAAGAAGUUAAAAUUGGCAUGUCUAUGAAAGAAAGUGAACGAGAAAAGCUGGUUAAACUUUUAUUUGAUUAUGUGGAUGUCUUUGCAUGGUCAUAUCAGGAUAUGCAUGGGCUAGACACUAACAUAGUUGAACACAAGCUACCACUCAAGCCUGAAUGUGCUCCAAUUAAGCAGAAAUUGAGGAGGAUGAGGCCUGAUAUGUCACUUAAAAUUAGAGAAGAAGUCAAGAAACACUUUGAUGCUGGUUUCUUAGCUGUGCCAAAAUAUCCUCAAUGGGUUGCUAACAUUGUUCCGGUUCCAAAGAAAGAUGGAAAAGUUCGAAUGUGUGUUGAUUAUCGGGAUUUAAAUAAAGCUAGGCCAAAAGAUGAUUUUCCUUUGCCUCACAUUGAUGUCCUAGUAGAUAGCACUGCUCAAUAUUCUCUUUUCUCCUUCAUGGAUGGUUUAUCAGGGUAUAAUCAAAUCAAGAUGGCUCCCGAAGACAUGGAGAAAACUACAUUCAUUACACAAUGGGGGACUUUCUAUUACAAAGUGAUGCCAUUUGGAUUGAAAAAUGUUGGCGCAACCUACCAAAGGGCAAUGGUAACUUUGUUUCAUGACAUGAUGCAUAAAGAAAUAGAGGUUUAAGUGGAUGAUAUGAUUGCAAAAUCUCAGACCGAAGAAGACCAUGUUGUUAACCUUCAAAAGUUAUUUGUGCGACUAAGGAAGUUCAAACUUCGUUUAAACCCUUCUAAAUGCACUUUUGGUGUAAGAUCAGGCAAGUUACUUGGGUUUAUCGUUAGCCAGAAAGGGAUAGAAGUGGAUCUAGAUAAAGUAAGAGCAAUAUAAGAAAUGCCCGCUCCGCGCACGGAAAAAGAAGUUUGUGGCUUUUUAGGCAGAUUGAAUUACAUUGCCAGGUUCAUAUCGCAUCUCACCGCUACAUGCGAGCCAAUUUUCAAGUUGUUGCGCAAAGACCAAAAGGUUGAAUGGAAUGAGAUUUGUCAAAAAGCUUUCGAAAGGAUUAAGCAAUACUUGUCAAAACCUCAAAUAUUAGUGCCUCCAGUUCCGGGAAAACCACUUAUUAUGUACUUAACAAUACUUGAUGAGUCAAUGGGUUGUGUACUGGGGCAUCAUGACGAAUCUGGUAAGAAAGAACAUGCUAUUUAUUAUUUGAGUAAAAAGUUCACCAGCUGUGAAACAAGGUAUUCACUGCUUGAACGAACAUGUUGCGCAUUAGCAUGGGCUGCUCAUCGGUUGAGGCAAUACAUGUUAUGUCAUACAACUUGGUUGGUGUCUAAAAUGGACCCAAUUAAAUACAUCUUUGAGAAACCUGCUCUUACUGGAAGGAUCGCCCGUUGGCAGAUGUUGUUAUCAGAAUACAAUUUGGUAUAUGUUACACAAAAAUCUAUCAAAGGAAGCGCACUAGCAGAGUACUUAGCCCAUCAACCGGUAGAAGAUUAUCAAUCAAUGCAGUGUGAAUUCCCCGAUGAAGACAUAAUGAAUUUAGUUGAAGAGAUUGAAUCAUCUGAUAAAGAAAAGUGGAGGUUGGUGUUUGAUGGUGCUUCUAAUGCGUUAGGGCAUGGAAUUGGAGCCAUUUUGAUUUCUCCAGAAAACCAGUUCACUCCAUUUACGGCUAGGUUGUGUUUUGAUUGUACAAACAAUAUUGCUGAAUAUGAAGCAUGUGUUAUGGGCAUUAAAGCGGCUAUUGAAUCAAAUGUAAAAUUUCUUGAGGUAUAUGGAGACUCAUUGUUGGUCAUCCAUCAGACGAAAGGAGAUUGGGAAACGCGAGAUUCUAAAUUGAUUCCGUAUCACACCCAUAUCAAAGAAUUGACAGAACAAUUUGAGAAGAUUACUUUUCACCAUAUCCCUCGAGAAGAAAACCAGUUAGCUGACGCCUUGGCCACUUUGUCGUCAAUGUUCAAAAUAACCACUAAUCAAGACGUGCCGGUCAUAAAGAUUCAACAAAGAGAUAAACCUGCAUAUUGCUUAUCAAUAGAAGAAGAGUUGGAUGGCAAGCCGUGGUUUUAUGACAUCAAAUCAUAUGUUAAGAAUAAGGAAUAUCCAUUGGGUAUUUCAGAGAACGACAAAAGGGUUUUAAGGAGAUUGUCAAUGAAUUUCUUCUUGAAUGGUGAUGUGCUUUAUAAGAGAAAUCAUGAUAUGGUUCUCCUCAGAUGUGUGGAUAAAGCAGAAGCGGGGAAAAUUAUCCAAGAGGUUCACGAAGGUUCUUUCGGAACUCAUGCAAAUGGGCACACAAUGGCUAGAAAAAUCUUAAGGGCUGGCUACUACUGGUUGACCAUGGAAUCCGACUGCUUUAGUCACGUAAAGAAAUGUCACAAAUGUCAAAUCUAUGCUGAUAAAAUACAUGUACCACCCACUUCUUUGAAUGUUUUAACAUCACCAUGGCCAUUUUCAAUGUGGGGAAUGGAUGUUAUUGGACUCAUCGAGCCUAAGGCUUCAAAUGGACACCGGUUUAUCCUAGUAGCUAUUGAUUAUUUCAAUAAGCCAACACAUUGCUUAUCGAUAGAAGAAGAGCUUGAUAGCAAACCAUGGUUUUAUGAUAUCAAAUCCUAUGUUAAGAAUAGGGAAUAUCCAUCGGGUAUUUCAGAGAACGACAAGAGUGUUUUGAGGAGGUUGUCAAUGAACUUCUUCUUAAAUGGUGAUGUUCUUUAUAAGAGGAAUCAUGAUAUGGUUCUCCUCAUAUGUGUGGAUAAAGCAGAAGCAAAAAAGAUCAUUCAAGAGGUUCAGGAAGGUUCUUUUGGAACUCAUGCAAAUGGACACGCAAUGGCAAAAAAAAUCUGUAGGGUUGGCUAUUAUUGGUUGACUAUGGAAUCUGAUUGCUUUAGUUACGUAAAGAAAUGUCAUAAAUGUCAAAUAUAUGCUGAUAAAAUACAUGUACCGCCCACCUCUUUGAAUAUUUUAACAUCACCAUGGCCAUUUUUAAUGUGGGGAAUGGAUGUUAUUGGACUCAUCGAACCAAAGGCUUCCAACGGUCACCGGUUUAUCUUGGUAGCUAUUGAUUAUUUCACAAAAUGGGUUGAAGCCGCUUCUUAUGCCAAUGUGACGAGAAGUGUGGUUGUCAAAUUCAUCAAAAGAGAAUUGAUUUGUCGAUAUGGCUUACCAAAUAAGAUAAUCACUGACAAUGCGACCAAUCUAAAUAAUAAAAUGAUGAAGGAGUUGUGUGAUAGUUUUAAAAUUCAGCACCACAAUUCAUCGCCAUAUUGUCCAAAAAUGAAUGGGGAUGUAGAAGCGGAAAAUAAGAAUAUCAAGAAAAUCAUACAAAAGAUGGUGGAGACAUAUAAGGAUUGGCAUGAAAUGCUCCCCUUUGCAUUACAUGGCUAUAGAACCUCUGUUCGUACCUCAACAGGGGCAACUCCUUUCUCAUUGGUGUAUGGAAUGGAAGCGAUACUUCUCAUUGAAGUUGAAAUUCCCUCGAUCAGAGUCUUGAUGGAAACAAAACUGGAAGAGGCUGAGUGGGUUCAAUCACGAUUUGACCAACUAAAUCUCAUAGAAGAAAAAAGAAUGAUAGCUCUUUGUCACGGCCAGCUAUAUCAAAAAAGACUUAAAAAGGCAUUCGAGAAAAAAGUUCGUCCUCGAGAGUUUCAAGAAGGGGACUUAGUGUUAAAGAAAAUAUUGCCCAUAAAAAAAGAUGCUCGUGGAAAAUGGACCCCGAAUUACGAAGGACCAUAUGUUGUGAAAAAAGCUUUUUCUGGGGGAGCUCUAAUACUCGCAGAAAUGGAUGGAGAUGACCUUCCACUUCUAGUAAAUUCAGAUGCAGUCAAAAAAUAUUAUGCUUAAAAAAGGUGAUGAGCUCGCUAGGUUGAAAACCAGAAAAGGCGACCUAGGGAAAAAUUAUAGCAUCCCGAUGGAUUGGAAACUUGGAAGAGUAGACCAUGCAAAAGUUAGGGAUAAAAAAAAUCAAGCACUUCAAACUGGGGCAAUUAUUAUUCUUGGAAGCUGUUUAUUAGGAUUCCUAAAUUACAAGAAUGACUAGCGUUUGUUAUGUCUCCACUUAAAUUAAACAUACUCGUCCCCACAUUGUAACCCCUGCCUCAAAUGUUUUGCUUUUAAUGUAACGAAUGUACAUUUUCUAAUAUUGUCAUUCGAUGUUGUACGUUACACUCUUUAUAUACCAAUCAAGUUUCAUUAUUGAGUGUUCUAUUGUUUCAAAAUUUUGUUUUAUAAUAAUAAAUGUUGGAAUUUGAAAUAUGUGAAAAUAUAAAAAUAUUUUAAAUAUUUUGACACUAGAAAAAUAUAUACACAGGAACUCGUUUGAUUCUCUAGAUAUAUGAGUGUGUGAAAAAUAAUAAGGAGGGUAAUCAUUUUAAACAAUAGAUUUUGCUUCGCCUCGAAAAAGCGGUCACACGAGACAUACUGGAGUCGUCAUGCAAAAAAUGGUUGUUAUCUUCAUCCAUUGAAUCUUGGGAUGGAGAAGAGCAUAAAGAUCGGGGAAUCAAAGAAAAGAACAAAAAUUUAUCUAUAAUGCAUGACACAUAAACCUUACAUAAUUUACUCAUACUCACAUGAUCCAUGCAUUUUCAUUGACACUUUACCUAUACUCGGUGCAUAACACACGAAUCAUUCAUAGCUUAUCGUUCGAAUUGCAAGUAUCAUAUACUUAUUCUCCCUCUUUACCUACCUUCAAGAUUGGAACUAUUAUGUUCAUGUUGAUCUACGCAUCGGAAAACAAUCUGAAGACGAUCACUUUCAUUUCUAUAGAUCUACGCAUCGGUAACCAAUCCGAAGACGAUCACUUUCAUUUCUAUAGAUCUACGCAUCGGUAACCAAUCCGAAGACGAUCAUUUUUCAUUUCUAUAGAUCUACGCAUCGGUAACCAAUCCGAAGACGAUCAUUUUUAAUUUCUAUAGAUCCACACAUCGGUAACCAAUCCGAAGACGAUCACUUUCAUUUCUAUAGAUCUACGUAUCGGUAACCAAUCCGAAGACGAUCAUUUUUAAUUUCUAUAGAUCAACACAUCGGUAACCAAUCUAAAGACGAUCAUUUUUAAUUUCUAUAGAUCCACACAUCGGUAACCAAUCCGAACACGAUCACUUUCAUUUCUAUAGAUCUACGCAUCGGUAAACAAUCCGAAGACGAUCACUUUCAUUUCUAUAGAUCUACGCAUCGGUAACCAAUCCGAAGACGAUCAUUUUUAAUUUCUAUAGAUCCACACAUCGGUAACCAAUCUGAAGACGAUCACUUUCAUUUCUAUAGAUCUAUGCAUCGGCAACCAAUACGAAGACGAUCACCUUCAUUUCUGUCGAUCUACGCAUCGGUAACCAAUCCGAAGCAAUCAUCUUUAUUUCUGUCGAUCUACCCAUCGAUAAUUAAUCCAAAGAUGAUUAUUCUGCAUAUCUAAAAAAUUUGCAUCAUUCUCACUUUAACAUUUCAAAUGCACUUUAAUACAUGUGUUUGUUAUUGGACAAAAUUUAGGUCCUUAUAUUUACUUAUCUUUUACGUGAUAACAUGAAAACGAAUACCAUUGUUAUUCAUAUUUUCAUAUUUUUCAAGUAAAAUAAAAUUAAAUAGGGGCAGUUGUAGUACCCCAAUUUUGUCCAUUUUGNNNNNNNNNNAAUAUAUAUUAAAAAGGGAAAUAAAAUAAUUACAAUGAUUAGGCUCAUCAAUUUACAAUACCAAAUCAGUUUACAAUUACAAUUCUAAAAUUAAAUCAAAUUACAAUUUCAUAUUACAAUCAAAUUGCAACCAAAAAUAAAACCAAAUUAAAUUACAAUAAAAUUAGGUUAAACUUUUUCAAAUUAAGCCAGCCUGCUUUGGCUCAGUUUUGUUGUUGAUCCUGCCUUUCUGUUCGUGAUGCAGUGUCAUGGUUGAUGCACAAGCCAUGCUCAUUGAUACAUACCUGUUGUAACUAAUUAGAGAAACUGAAAACCAUUUUUUUUUACCAGUCAGACUCAGUAUACAUGAUAAAAACCAAAUGACAAAGUUUUGAGUUUAAAAAAAAGAAACUAAGGGACAAAUGAAAAAGGUAAGCAAACAAUCAGAUAAAACAAAUAAAAGCUAAAAUCGUGAAUAGAUCAGAGGUGCGGAAAAAUACAGAUUAUGAGCAAAUAAUUUAAACAUCAAACAAGAAAUUGAUGGAGAAGGACAAAGGCAGGCAAGAAAGCAACUAAACAGAUCAAAAACUCUAUAAAAACACCUUAUCAAUUUCAAAAAAGGGGGAUAUGAGAUUAACUCUACUAAAAAAAAAUACACUUACAAAGAAGGAAAGAGGAAAUAAAUCAGAAGCAGUUUUUAGUAACAAACAACAAAUACGAAAUAUUAAGGUAUUUUUUUCUUCCUGUACAAUAUAUAUCUUGCUAUUUAUCAUCAUCAUCAACAUUACUCUUUUAUUUAAAAAAUGUAAACUUUUUUUUAUUUUAAUGAACGAAAACAAUUAAAAAUCUGAACCUGAUGUUGUCUUCUUCGUUGUUGCCAUUGUCGUCGUCGGCACCGUCACCAUCGCCGAGGUCGUCGUCGCCGUUGGCGCUAAGGCCGUCGUUGGUGUAAAGGUCGUCGUUGGCGUUGUGUCCGCCGUCACUAUUUCCUUGUUCCUCUUCAUUUUCCUUUUGUUCGAUUGAUGCAUCCAUCCAUAUUUUCUCUUCUAUUUUCAAAACAGAGAAUGGAACAAGGAAGAAGAAAAGGUUUCUUGUUUGUUUGUUUCCUGUUUCCCGAGCGGCUGCCUCCCCUCUCUAACUAGGGUUUCUUGUUAGUUUGUUUUGGACCUUUUUUUUAAGUUAGUUUGGGCUUGGAUUUUAAACAAAAAAGCAAUAAUUUGUUCAAACUCAGCCCAUUUAAAACUAUUUAUUUUAUUUUAUUUUAUUUUUUACAAAAAUGGUUAAUUUUCUUUCAUAACUAAAUACCAAUUUCAUCAUAAAAAAUGCAAAUAAACAUUAUAUUAAAGAUUAAUUAAAUGUGAACUCUUUUUAAUCUUUGAGUUGUUAGGACAUAAGUGGUACAACUUGAUAGUUCUAAAACUCUCUUUAUUUCAUUAUUUAUUUAUUUUAUUUACUUUAUUCUAUUCUAUUUAUUUAUUCAUUCAUUUAUUUAUUUUAAUGAACUAAUUUAAAAUCGACUUAUUUAUUAGAUGUAACUCUUUUUAAUUUUUGAGUUGUUAGGACACAAGUGGUACAAUUUGAUAGUUCUAAAACUCUCUUUAUCUUAUUUAUUUAUUUAGUUAUUUUAUUGUAUUUGUUUAUUGGUCAAACAUGGGCACGGUAAAACUAGUUCUGACCAUUGUGUAUUGGUCAAGAAAUUCUCUGAUGGUGAUUAUAUUAUUCUCUUGUUAUAUGUGGAUGACAUGUUGAUUGUUGGUCAUGAUGCUAAGAAGAUUCAAUCUUUAAAGAAAGAUUUGAACAAGUCUAUUGCAAUGAAAGGUUUGGGUCCUACAAAGAAAAUUUUGGGCAUGAGAGUUAUUCGUGACAGGAAGAAUAAUAAAUUGUGGUUGUCUCAACACAAUUACAUUGAGAAAGUUUUAGAGAGAUUCAACAUGAGCAAUGGCGGACCUGUUAGUACUCCACUUGCUACUCGUUUUAAAUUCAAUUCUGAUCAAUAUCCUACGAGUGAGAAAGACAAAGAAGAGAUGAAGAAGGUUCCUUAUGCAUCCGCAAUUGGUAGUUUGAUGUAUGUUAUGUAUGCACAAGGCCAGAUAUUGCUCAUGCAGUUGGAGUUGUUAAUCAAUUUCUCUCUAAUUCUGGUAAAGAUAAUUGGCAAGUAGUGAAGUGGAUUCUCAGAUACCUCAUAAGCACUUCUAAAGUGUGUUUAUACUAUGGAGGUGGUGAACCUGUGUUGGAUGGCUACACAGAUGCAUAUAUGGCAGGUGAUCUUGAUUCUAGAAAAUCUACUUCUGGUUUUAUGAUGAUGUUUGCAGGGGGAGUUGUGUCUUGGCAAUCAAGAUUACAAAAGUGCGUUGCUUUAUUCACUACUGAAGCUGAGUAUAUUGCAGCGACUGAAGCUUCCAAAGAACUCUUGUGGAUGAAGAAAUUCCUACAUGAGUUAGGCCUCAAGCUAGGCAAGUUUGUGUUAUUCUAUGACAGUCAGAGUGUGAUCCAUCUCAGCCAGAAUCCGUCUUUUCAUGCAAAGUUGAAGCAUAUUGAAGUGUGGUAUCAUUGGAUACGAGAUGCACUGGAAAUAAAGUCAUUUUUAAUUGAGAAGAUUCAUACUGAUGAUAAUGGUUCAAAUAUGAUGACGAAGACCUUGUCUAUGUCGAAGAUGAUAUAUUGUAGAAAGAAAGCCGACAUAGUUAAGCAGUACCUUCCACCUUGAGUCGUUAGGGGGAGAUUUCUUGGGUGGGCUCACUUCCCAAGUGGAACCCACCAAUUUUAUUAAUAUUAUUAGUAUUAUUGAAAAAAAAAAUGAAAAAAAUAAAAUUUAAUGAGCUUGGUCCAUGUGAAGGAAAUAAAAGGGAUUUAGAAAUCCCUAAGAAGCAUGAAUGAGAACAGUGUCGAAAAAGCAAAGGAAAAGUAGAACGGUAGCCAGAGAAGAAAAAGAAAGGUUUGGUUCUAGUGGUGGUAACAUGUGUGUAAUAAACUUGCUCCGUUCGAUCUACAAUUUUGAUAGGUUAUUUCUACCACUGAGUUUGUUAUUUUAAUAUAAAGUCUGAGUAGUUUUAUCUUCUUUGAGAGUUACUUUGGCAUACCCACUUUAGUGGAAGGUUGUUAUUGUUGAUUGAUGUUCUCUAUUGUUAUUAGGAAGACUAUGGUAUACCCAUUAAUUAUUAUAGUGAAAGUUUUUAUUGGACUAGGUCCCGUGGUUUUUUUUUCUCUCAAUUUGAGGGAAGUUUUCCACGUUAAAAAUUGUGUUUGUCUCAUAUUUAAUUUUCUGCCAAUUAUUUUUGCUAUGUGGAAUUAUAUUUUCUAUUUGGCCAUUUAUCUGCACAGGUGGGGGAAAAAAUAUUCCGCAUUAUUGAGAUAGUUAUCGCUAAUUAUCUCUGAUUUUCUUAACAAUGUUAGUGUUAUAGUUGUAUAGAAUAUUAUUUUUUGUAUAUUUUGAUGACAAAGUAAAUGAUUAUAGAUUAAUAUCAAAUUUAUAUAUAUGAUUUGUAUGAUAGUAGCUUUCAAUUCAGCGGCUGAUAUAAAAAAAUAGUUAUUUGAUACGAUAUUAUUGAAUGAGUGUAAAUUUUAGUAUAACUCUUUUGAUAUAAUAUUAGAUCAAUUUUACACCACUCAAUACCGUUUUAUUGGAUACAUAUUAUAUAAACUUAACUAUUAAAUUGAAAAUUUAUAUCAUAUAGAUCAUCUUCAUAAAUUCUUAUAAAAAUUUAAAAUCAUUUAAUAAUUUACGAAGGAGCUCAAAAUUAACGUCAUACAAUAAAAUUGUUCAAGACAAUUUUGGCAUACUUCAAUUACAUAUCAAAUUAAUAACUGUGGAUUUAUGUAAAAAUUUAUAGAAAACUAUUUAUAUAAUAUAAUUUUUUAAUCUUACAGUUAAAUUUGUAAAACCUAUAUCAAAAUAAAAUAUUAUUGAUAAAUAAUUGCAAGCAUUCUUUGCCUUUUAGAAGAACGAUUUUGAUGAUACUACAAAUUCUUUGAAUAUUUACUGUCAAUGAUUAUGAUGUUUAUGUGCAUAAUUUUAACACGUCUUUAUGUGAUUUUUAUUUUUUCUUAUUUUUGUUUGAUGUUUUCCAUCAAAAGUAAUACAUCACAUUUUUUAUAUAUUAAUUUUGCUAACGGAGAACAAUGGGCAUUAUUUUCUCAUUUAUGUUAUAUUUUCUCUUGAGGUUGUUAGAUUUGUUAGACAAUGUUAUUAUAUAUUAGUAGUAAGGAUAUUUUAGACAUUUAUGUUCUUUUAUAUAUAUACUCAUUGUAACCCUAUUAACUGAAGUUUGGUUCAUUCUAUGUUAUGAAACCCUAGAGUGGUUGUCUUUUUUCUUCCUCUUUUCAUUAUUAACAUGGUAUCAAAGAGCUCUGGUUGAUUUUUGGAUCUACUAUAAAUAAGAGAGAGAUUAUUUUGAUAGGAAAGAAAACCACCAAAAGAGAAAAGAGAAGAGUAACCCUAUUUCCGAUUUUGUUAAAUUAGUCUCACAAAAACAUCGAUUGCACAUUCGUUAACCGUUGGAUCAGGCUGAUUUUUGGACAGCAGGUUCGCAACAAUCAGGUCUUUGUCUUCAAUUGUCGGAUUAGCGAAACCUGAUUGUUUUCUUCCUCUUUUCAACUGUCGCACAGCACCAGAUUAUCCAUAAUUUAUUUUGUCUCAGUGAUUGUGUUUGUCAUAUUUUCCUGUUAUUAUUUGUUAUGGUUGGUGCUAAGGAUGAUUCUCUUCACGCACAUUGGAAAACACAUUGUCCGAAAUUGGGGAGAGAAGAAUUUUAGGGGGCCAUCGUCCAAUGUUGUUGCUUCUUCUCCUUCUACCAUUGGCUCUAGUUCUGGUUUUGUAUACUCAUCUGAGAUUGCUUCCCAAAUAUCUGAUAUUGCAGAACAACUUCAAAAAAUUAUUGCCACUCAAUCACAUGCCAUGUCUGCUACCUCUUCUAAAGGUUUGAACUUCUCUGGUAUGUCAGAUAUAUCUCCUUCCAUAUGGAUUCUUGAUUCAGGAGCAUCUCAUCAUAUGACAUACGAUGAUAAAUCUUUUGUGUCUGUGAAACUUGUCUCGUCUGUGUCGGUUAUGACUGCUGAUGGCACUCCUAAGCCACUAGCAGGCGUUGGUUUUUUCUCCACAUAUAACAUGUCUCUUUCUGAUGUUUGUUUGUUAUGAUCAGUAUUAAGGAGUUGAUUUUGGUUUGGUUCACAUGCUUUCAAUUGUUGUGGUUCUUUGCUGAUUUGGUUGGUAAUUUAAUUGUUCGUCUCUCCUAUCUCUUCUGUUGCUUUCUUCUGUGUUGUCGCUCUCUCUGUUUCUUCUUCUGUUUGAUUGCUCCUCUCUCUAGUGAUUUGCUUUGUUGCUUCUCUCCAUAUUGAUUGUUCUAUUUGUUUGCUCUUCUCUCAUUUGGUUCAUCUAUUUGAUUGCUUCUCUCUUUGUUUAGUUUGAUUUGGUGUAGUUUAGUUUGGUUUGAUUUAGUUUGGUUUGAUAUGAUUUAGUUUUGUUUGGUUCUUUUUUGUUUGGUUUGUUUUGAUUUGGCUUCGUGCUGCUACUUCUUUGGUUGUUUCAAUAUUAGGAAAUUUUAAGGGAGAUGUUAAGUAGUAUGUUAUUGGGCUUUUAUAUUAUAUAUUAAAGGUUUGUUUUGAUAUGGUUGUUGCUCCUUUUUUUUAUCGCUCCUUUUUCGAUUUGAUUUUUUGUUGGCUUGGUUCUUCUCUUUGAUUGUUGCUUCUUCUUUGGUGACAUCCCUCUUGUCCCCCAACUGUCCAACCAUCUCUUGCGAUUGUUGAUCCUCCUCGUUACCCCUUUCGUCAACUUUGUCUGAACCCUCUUCCAAUAAAGAGGUUGUUCUUGAUCCUCUUUGGCAGCAGGCUAUGGCAGAAGAACUAUCUGCAUUGCACAAAAUCAAUACUUGGGAAUUAGUACCUCUUCCUCCUGGAAAACGUGCUAUUGGGUCUCGUUGGGUAUACAAGAUCAAAACUCGUCAUCAUGUUCAUCAUGGAACCAUUACUCUACCGUUUGUCUCUUCUUCUUUACGGAUUGUUGAUUUGUUCAAGAUGCAUUCCAUUAAACGUUUUCAUUUUUUAGUUGACAAACUCUCGAUGCUCCAUGUUAAUGCAUCGUGAGUUUGAGGGGAGAUGUUAGAUAAUGUUAUUAUAUAUUAGUAGUAAAGAUAUUUUAUACAAUUAUGUUCUUUUAUAUAUACUCAUUGUAACCCUAUUAACUGAAGUUUGAUUCAUUUUAUGUUAUGAAACCCUAAAGUGGUUGUCUUUUUUUUUUUCUUUUUAUUGUUAACAAGAUUUAUUUUAUCAAUUAGGCUAGUACAAGUUCUAAAGCAUGUAAUAAAAUGUGUUGACUAAAAACCAGAUCAAACAUCAAAGCAUUAAUUGAGUCAACAAAAGUAAAUAAAUAAAUAAAACAGUUGUGUAGCUUGACAGAGUCGGUUGACAAUUAGUUUGUUAAAACUUUAGAUCCACUUUUGAUUUACUUUAAUAUUUAAAAUAUGCUAAUGUGGCAUGAUGGUUUGGCUUUUUUAAUAUUUUUUAAAUUAAAAACAUCAAAGUUUUAUGAAAUGAUGAAGGAAAAAAAUUAAAAUCAUUCUCAUUAUCUUCAAGAAAAACAAAUGUCGAAUUUUUUUUCUCACAUAUCCACUUCUCCCAUAUAUGCCUUAGCAUACAAAUCUCUAAAACGCAAUAGAAAAAAUUCACUCUCGAUCUAAAAUAUAUUCAAAACAAAAAUAAAAUCAACAUAUACAAAAUUUCACAUUUCUAUUAUUUCGAUUUGUCCGAACAAGUUUUUUAGAUUUUGUUUUUAAUUUUUUUUUUUACUUUUUAUUUUUAUAAAUUUCAAGAUUUGUUUAUGAUUUUGAGUUUCUUUAAAUCUGUUGGAUCUAAGGAGCAUGUUGUUGUAGUUGUUUUUCUAAAAGAUGUUGUUGUUGGAUCUAUUAAAUAUGCUUGGAUAUGAAGUAAAUAGUGGAAGAAGAUUGCGUUGCUCGGUUUCAUCUUCUUCAAAAUGAUGAAUAAUUGAUUUAUUUAUUUUUUCUUUCAUUCGACAAUUUUAAUGUAUUUACUUCAUAAAAUAAUGAAAAUCAAAUCAUGAUGCCACAUAUACACUAAAAUUGAAUUCAGCCUAUAUUGCAGAAACCAAAAUAAAAAUUAACCCAAAUAUAAGUCACUGAUCGGAUACAUAACUAUAUGAAAUAUGCAUUUUUUUUUUAUUACAAUAUUUAAUUGUUACCUUGAAAAUAAUAACUACAUACAAACUUUUAUGUUUAAUCAUAACUACUUUUUUUAGUAGCAUCACAUGCACGUUUUCAAAUUACUUUUUACCUUAUAAAAUUUAACCAUAAAAAUUCAGCAUAACUAAGUCAUGCAUAGAUAGAUAUUUUACAUAAAAAUUGAUAAAAUAUAUAUCAAAUAAAAUAUUAAUUAGUGGUGCAAUAUUAUAUAAGUAAAAUCUAUCCCUCAUGAUUUAUUUGAGUUUAUUUUCAAUUUUGUAUUUCUAUUUUAGAAAAUUAAUUUGAUUUGGUGAUCUUGAAUUGUUACCAGUUUUGUAGUAGUUUUAUAAAAGUAUCUUUAAGAUUGAAUUUGUUUGUUAGUCGAUUCUAAUUUGCUAAUUAUUUUAAUUUUUUUUAAGAUAAAUCAUCUUUCUUGGAGAACAAUGAUGUGGAUUAAAGUACAUACUGUCGCGGCCUAAAAUUUCGAGUGUUUCUCGAAUUCAAUGAAGUCGCCACCAAAAUUUAUUUUAAAAUAGGGAAAAUAUUGGUAAACCCUUAAAAAAAUAAAAAUAAAAGAAAAUGGUCUUUGAAACCAAAUUUUGAGUUCGGGAGCCAAUUAUGCGUAGGGAAGGUAUUAGCACCCUACGACAUCCGUUAAAAACGGUUACCCAUAAUUAAUUGUGCAAUAUUAAUUUUAACUUAAGUAUAUUUAUUUUUCUUUAUUAUUAAAUAUGAAUAACAAUUAUUACUAUUUUUAAAAUAUGAUUUUAAAAUAAAUAUGUACUUAACAAAUAAAGGACAAAAGAAGAAAUUUUUAUUUAUGUGCUUGACAAGAAUGUGAUCUUGCUCCUACGUAUCUCCCAGUGCGAUGGAGAAAUCAAAGCUACGUAGUUCUUGAUUAAAAAACAAACGGAUGUGUUGAGUGUGUUUUAAAGAAAAAUUAUUUUGUGAUAAAAAAAAGUUUUGACAAAAAUAGAAUAAAUAAAUAAAUAAAUAAAUAAAAUAAAAGAGUUUGAUUUGAGAUGAAUACUUUAAAAUAUGAGUUUUAAGACGAUCAAGUUGUACAACUCGUGUCCUAAAACUCAAGGAAUAUAGAAGAUGUCACAUCUAAUUUAAUCCUCUAAAAAAUAUUUUAUUAUUCUCGAUUUUAAAAUUGAGUUUCAAAACCACCAAGUAGUACAACUUGUGUUUUAACAACUCAGAGAUAAAAAAGAGUUACAUCUAAUAAAUAGGUCGAUUUUAGAUUAGUUNNNNNNNNNNNNNNNNNNNNNNNNNNNNNNNNNNNNNNNNNNNNNNNNNNNNNNNNNNNNNNNNNNNNNNNNNNNNNNNNNNNNNNNNNNNNNNNNNNNNNNNNNNNNNNNNNNNNNNNNNNNNNNNNNNNNNNNNNNNNNNNNNNNNNNNNNNNNNNNNNNNNNNNNNNNNNNNNNNNNNNNNNNNNNNNNNNNNNNNNNNNNNNNNNNNNNNNNNNNNNNNNNNNNNNNNNNNNNNNNNNNNNNNNNNNNNNNNNNNNNNNNNNNNNNNNNNNNNNNNNNNNNNNNNNNNNNNNNNNNNNNNNNNNNNNNNNNNNNNNNNNNNNNNNNNNNNNNAAGUAUAGAGAGCAACCAAGAAAGAAGUAGAGAGAUAACAGGAAUAUACCGAGAGGCCGCGAGAAAGGCAAGAGGCCGCGAGAAAGGCGAGAGGCCGCGAGAAAGGGAAGAGACCAAGGAAGCCGCGAGGAGAAAACCGGAAUGAGGAUGGUGCGGUCGCUCCAAAAGCACCGGUUCCAACGACGAUGGUGACGAUAUGAAGGUUUGGGUUUUCUCCUUUUGUCUUUCUUUGUGUGUUUUUAAUGGUGUUAAUCUCCGGUCCCUCUUUUGUGUGCGUGUGUGUUUUUUUUCACCCCCCCUCUUUGUAAAAAAAACAGAUGUAUUUAUAGAGUUUUUUUAUCUGAUUAGUUGUUUUCUUGGCUGUGUCUCUGUUCUAUCUAUUUCCUGUUUGAUGUUUUUUUUCCUUUGCUCAUCAUCUGCGUUUUUUCUACACCUCUGAUGCAUUCAUGAUUUUGAUUUACUUGCUUUGAUAUGUUCUGUUGCUGAGCUUUAAUUUGUCCCUUAGUUUAUUUUUUAAACUCAAAACUUUGUCUCUUUGUUUUGCACAAAGUGUACCAAGACUGACUUAAAAAAAAAAUGUUUUUAUGCUUCUCUAAUUAGUUACAAAGCAAAGGUCAAUGACACUGCAUCUGAAACAGAAAGGCAGCAACAAAAAAGAGCCAAACACUGCAUCAGAAAGUCAACAUAGCAAGGCUGGCUUGAUCUGAUUUAAAUUUUAUUGUAAUUUAUUUUUGCCUUUAUUUUAGUUUGUAAUUUGAUUUGGUUUUAAAACUCUAAUUAGAUAAAAAUGUAAAUUUAUGAUACAUAAUAAAAUUAUUUAUUGCAAUUAUUUUUAUUUCCUUUUUUAAAUACAUAUUUCUUUUUUUGAUUUAUUUUUAACCUAAAUGGACAAAAUUGAGGUACUACACAUACGAAAGCAGCGCGUCUGAUGUAGAUUUUGCAUCCUCCACUUCAUUUUAAUUUAUCGGAAAAAAACGAUAUUUGCUUUCAUUUUUUAUUGGAGAAUAAAAUUUGAGUCUUCAUUUUCAAUUUGACUGAGUAGAUUUUUCAUGUACUACAUCUGUUCAUAUAUAUAAAAUGAUAAUUUUAAAUGUCAUAUUUGUUAUAAUUUAUAUAAUAAAAUAAUUAUUAUAAGAAAAGAUAAAAUAAAAAUUAUUAAAAUUAGAGAGGAGAUUAAAAUUUAUAAUACAUAAAAAAUAUUAAAUAAUAUGAAUAGGUACACGUAUAUAAAAAUUUUAAAAGACCAAUAAUUUUACUAGUAGAGCGUGUUUGGGGGUGGGACAGAUAUCAACACUACUGAUAUUGUCCUUUACCUUUGCACCCGCAUCCCAUUAAAAAUGAUUUUUUCCCGUCAAUGUAGGGACAAGUUAGAGUGAGUACCCAUAUGUUCAGGUUGUGUUGUCAUGUGUAUUGAUUUACCAAGUGAUUUCUUCUAUAAAGUAGCAAAUGAAACGAGAAAAUAAAUAAAUAAACAUGAGUUAGGUCUAAAAGAUCGACAAGUCAAAAGGAAAUUACCACAAUGACAAAAAAAAAAAAAAAAAACCAUUGAUAAGACUAAAAAAAGUUUUAAUCCAAAAACUCAAAGAUGAAAAACAUCUACCUCACUAUUUUCAUUUUCAUUAGAGAACAUUUUAAUUCAUUUCAAAUUAAGAUGGAAAAUGAUACUCUUACAAGGGUAUUUAAAGAAAGACUUAUUUGUUCCAAAAAUAGGCCAUUAGCCCAAUUUUGUAGCCUCAUAUUAGGCUUACUCCACUUAAUUAAGAAUAAAACCAAAAUUAUUACAAUUCAAAUUAAAUACUAGUAAAACUAAAUUAUUAUAAAAUAUUGACUUGAAAUAUUUUUUCUUCCUAAUUAACUCCUUUUAAGUAUUUAUCAUUUUCUUUUUCUUAAAGGAAAUUUGAUCUCAAUUUAGUUUCAUCGUAACCUAUAUGAUGAAAAACACAAGGCAAAACCAUGAAGAACAAUAUCAACCAUUCGACUGAAGUCAAAUGAAAAUUGAGAAAAGUCACAAAUGUGCUAACGUUGUGAAACACACUUCCCUAAUGUACAAUUAACAUACCACCACAUUUGUAGCCAAGGUUAGAUAUUUAAAAGGUGAACAAAAAUUAUACCUUAUGUAGUUAAUAUGUAUGACUCAACAUACCUUCUUUCCCGACUUGAAGUUGUAGACAAAAGAACAUUAACGUUCUUUUUGACAAGGAUCGAAGAGAAAUUGUGUCACAUUGAUAUUCUUCUCAACACAAAUAAAAGAUAAUUCUUUUUUAUUCAAAUUGAGUCCCUUAAAUACAUUAGAAGUAUCGUAUCAAACUUUAAAGAAUUUGCAAUAAUGGAUCGAAAGAGUGAGAACGGAUAUAGGAUUGGAUCCAUCAAAUGAAUAUUAUACAUGCAAUCUUUUGGUACUUCUAGCAAACCUCAAUAUGCUAACUUAGGAAAAAAAUAAUAAGUAUUCAAGGUUGCAAACAAACUAUCUUUAAGAAACUCAACAUAUUCUUUUAAAAAAUUGUUAUGAACCAAGUUAACACUAGAAGGCACAACAACACAUUUAUCAAGAAAAUCUUUCAAAUAUUGAUUCAUAAUUAUCAAAUCAAACUUAGAAGAGUAGUACGGAUUAAAUACAUUAUGCUUCAUAAUUUCAAAAGAACCAAAACAAAAGUCCAAAUCAAAUAAUCCAAACACAAUGCAACAACUCUACAAAAAUUAUCAACACAAGAGUAUCAAGAACGAAAAUUGAAAACAAAACUAAGAAAAUUUAAAAUGACAAGUAAGAAAAAUUAUACAAAGGGAACAUGCUUAAAUAGAUUAUCAAAGAAACAACUAAAAAAAGAUUGAAACCAAAUAAUUAAGUGAUACAAAUAUUUGGGAAGUAAGGUAUCAAAGUCAAACAUGCAAUGAAUAAUAAUAAUGCAAAAAUAUUUAAUGUUUCAAUUUGAACAAUUCUGAAAACUUUUCUUUAGAUAACCUUUUUCCUAAAGUACUUUGGUGCAAAUCCACUUUUUUUCAACAAGUGUAUUUUUAAAUUUUUCUCUGCAUAUUUAAAUUAAUGUCAAAAUGAAAUUAAAGAAAAUGGUGGAGGUGGGGUGGGUAGUUAAACUUGUUUCAUGAACAGUUAAAAAAAGACUAAGGUGAAGGAGGGAAGAUAUUAACAUUGAAAUCAAUUACAAGAACAAAAUAAAGUAUCUGAAAAUUGAUCUAUAUAAUCUAAAUUUUAGAUUGAAUAUAUAUAUAUAUAUAUUCUUUUCAUAUAUUUUUUUUAUUUAUAUUUCAUUUCAGAUAUAAUAUUUUUUAAUAUUUUAUAGUUGACUUUAUAAGGUCAUGACACCUAUUAUAAUUUAUUAAUGAUUUUAUAAAAUUUACAGAUAUUUUUGCUAUGGUUAUUACAUUAUUACCAUACAUUUAUGGUUAUGCUUCUCCUAAAUUUCUUUAAAAUUUAAUUGCAUUUUUUUGUUCUUUUAUUAUUAUCAAUGCAAAGAUUUGGUAAAUUUAUUUUAAAAGUCGACGGUUUUGAUAUUUUAUUCAAAUUUUUGAACUAAAAAAUGAUGAUUUGACAUAUUUUAAAUAGCGUGACAUAUUAUACUAUAAUAUAGAACUAUUUAAAUGUAUUAAUUAUCCAUGUCAUUAAUUAAAUUAAAAAUAUAAAUAAAAAAAAAUCAAAGUUGAAAGUUAAGUUUCUAAGGUAUUUUAUUCCAAUUUCAUGUCAUAUUAUUUAAACAAUCCCACGUAAUCAUUCUUUAAUUAAAAUUUCAUAGCGAUAGACUAAAAUUAUCGACUUCUAAAAUAGAUAAAUCAAUUUCGUAAAUUAGUAAAAUUAAAAAUACUAAAACUGCAAUUAAGUCUUUCUUUAAUGGUUGACAAUAAUAAAAUUAUAAACAAUACGUGUCUUCCUUAAAUAAUUUCAAUUUUUUAGGUUUAUAUGGUAAACACUACAUAACAUUCACACAUAAUCAUUAAAUUUCAAAUUUUAACCUGAAAUAUAAUAUAUAAUAAUGUCGGACUAACGAUAUCGGUAUUAAACAAAUUUUUCACCUUGAAAAAUUAUUAUUGCACCAUUUGUCGUGGCCUGCAUCUCGAAGUGAUAAAAGAUACAUUGGGGUUACUCUUUUAUAAGUCGUCAACUUCGUCAAAACUUGUCUCCAAUUUGCUAAGGAAUAGUAUUUGAUAAAGGACUCAAUGUGCACGCCAAGAAGUAGUCGUCCAAUAUUUGGUUAACUAAUGUUGUCGAGUUCCUGUCUUAGGCUAGAAAACAAUUAUUUAAAUAUAAAUUAAAAAAUUUCUUGUAAUAGUAAUAUUAUUAUAUAGUUUAAUAAAUAUGUAAUGGUAAUGUAAAAUAAUUUAACAUUGAUAUUUAAUGAGUUAUUUAAUACUUUACAAAAAAUUGGCAUUGCAAUAUUUAGUCCAACUUAUCUAAAUGGCUCAUUAAUUAUUAUUCUCAAUCUAACUGAAUUCAUUACAUUAUUAUGUUUUUAUUUUAAAAAUAAAGAUAUAAAACAGAUCAGUAUUACAACUCAUAUGUGAUAUGACUUAUUAUAUGAUAAUAAGGCAAUAUGCAUCAGUGUGAUAAAAUAAAAAACGUCAUUUAUAUUUAUAUUUGAUGUAAUAUUCUUUUUUUUUUUUGUCUUAAAAGGAAUAAUAUAUUUUACUAUAAUUAAUUCACAUAACUGCGAGAUUUUGAAUUUUUCAAUCGAAAAAAACUUUCAACUUAAUAAUAUCGGUGUUUGUCAGUUAAAUUAGGAGUUAAAGAACGAUGUAAUAUUUAAUUUAUAUAUGUACAAAUGGUAAACAGGAAUCAAUCUCUAAAUUUAAAAUUAAAAAUGUUUCGAUCAAUUUAAAAAUUGUUAUAAUCAUGUCUAAGUUUUGAAAGAAGAUUGUGCUUAAUUUUUAGUACAAUAAUAAUAUAUUUAGUGAUGUGUACAUUAUAUAAAUUUAAUAAAUGAGAAUAAAGUAUUAAAUUAGUGUGUAAUGCAAUUUAAAUUGCUAGUAUAUUAAUAUUUUAUUGAUAUGUUGCAUAAUUUUCUUGCAGUACAAAAUUCAGUUGCAACCUUAUUAGCACUGAACUUUCUAAGUAUGUAAACAGUGCCUUCAAAUUUUUAUUUUUGAAACUUAUGAAUAAGUGUUGGCCUUUUGUGGUGAGCUGAUUAUUAAUACAUAUGAUAAUGUGCUAAAUAUGGUGAACAUAUCAAUGUUCGAUGAUUUUGGAUUUAUUUAUGUGGUAUUCUACUUACAUAAAUUUAUGACAAAAAUAAAUAAUUGAUAAAAAUUGAAUAUUAUUGAAAAAUUAAAUAAUUUAAAUUUAGAAGCUUUUUGCGAAAUGUAUACAUCCAAAAUUAUAAGAACAAUCUUCGUGGUAUUUUCAAAAAUCAAUAUAUUGGGUAACAAAACGUACUUGUAAUAGUCCUUUAGAAUUUGAAAUUUUGACAGUUUAAUUUGUAAUAGUUGUAACAUGCAAAAUGGGAAUUGUGGACUAUGAAUGUGAAUUUCCAGGCUAUAACAAUUAAUUAUACUAUAUAUUUUUUAACAAAAAAUGUAAAUGUAAAUUUAAUUUUUAAUUUUUUAAGUGUGAAUUAAUUUAUUGGGGGAAUUGGGAGAGGAGGAAAUUAAAAUAUCUACUUUUUGUUAUCAAAUUUUUAUCAUCUUUGACAAAUAUUGUAAUAUAUUUGUAGAAAUGUUAUCCCUAAAUUUAGAAUACAAUAUUUUCAUGAUUAUGUUAACAUAUUAUAUGUAAAGAUUUUUCUUAUUGUAUUCAUUUACUCAUUAUAUACAAAUUUAUGAAUAUUUAUUGAUGAAAUAUAUGAUCCGAAAUUUUAAAAAAUUUGAUUGUUUGUUUGUUUAUACAUGUUUUCCUAAUAUUUGAUAAAUAAAUGCCAAUAGCAUAUUUGUACAAAAAAGAACAUCUAAGUUGGAAUAGAAUUUGUCCAUUAUUAUUAUGUGUACAUAGUACAUGUAAUUUUGUUCUUAUAUUUUAUAUUAUACGUUAAAUUAACUAAAUGUAUUUUCAGCUUUUCACCGCAUAAAUGUAUUUUUAUUUUCUUGUGCGCUUAAACUAAUUAGAGCUGUACUUUUUUUUUACUCAAUAGUACUAGUUAUUGACAAAAAAAAUAAUCGUUGUACUUAUUCUUUGAUUGUAAUAAUUGUCUGUUCCUUGUACAAUGAUUUUAUUUUUUUCUUGGCAUUUAUUAUUGACUUUUUGUUGAAUCAUUAAAGAAAAAAAUUGUACUAAUUGCAUUUAAUUCAAAAUAAUUUUAUUAUUGAGUGAUAUUCAUUUUUACGUUUUUCAUUUCAAGUAUUGAAUCAAUUAUUUGUAGGUUAAAUGAUAAUUUUAUUUUUCCUUUAUUGGUAAUGUGUCUUAUUUACUACGCCUUUUGUUUCUGAUUUUUCGUUUUUGUCCCACAAUUUUAAUUCUUUUAAAAAAUCAAUAAUUAUUGAUGCCUUUUUUAUAUCAAUUUAAAUUUAUUAAUUUUUAAUACGUUAUUCAAAUCUAAAAUAACAGUUUAGAUAGAGAAUAUUUGAUUGAAGGAUUUUUGUUUUGAGUGGGUCACUUUUUCUUAUUCAAUCAAAGUAUGGUUACUAAUAUUCAAUGUAACAACCAAUUGAAAUUGAUUUAUUUUAAUUUUUUUUGUAGCAAUAAAUGUAGAUAUUAACGGAACAAGAUUCAUUCUAUGCUGACACGUGUAAUAAUGUUUGUUUCUAAUUGAUGUAAUUGAUCUUAGUAUAGAAUAGAUAGAUAGAUUAGCAAGACACCUAAAAAGUUAGACACAGUUGAAACCUUACUACUAACUAUUAACAAUCGCCAAUAAAAAGAAAAUCAAUGAAAUUGAUGAUUUAUUAGUUAUAAUGGGGACGUGAGAAAUUGGUUAUAAUGGGUGACGUGAGAAAUUGAUCAUUUAUUGGACCCACGUCCAUUAUAAUUUUGGCCUAUAAAGCAAACCCGACAUGGAGUUUGUCUAUAAGCCUCUUCAAGGACAGAAAUUUGGCAUAGGUUCUUAUACUAUACCUUUCCAAAUGUCUCCUUUCCUCUUUGUUUCUCUUGCUAUUCUCUUUUUCUUAUGCUUUUUGGAGAACAAUUUUGCCAUUCAAACACACCAUGAUGUUCAUCAAUAUACUCAUCUUGUUCAUAUCAACUCACUCUUACCAUCAUCUUCUUGCAGUUCUUCUAACAAAGGUCAACUCAAUUUUCUUUUACAUGCAUGCUAGCUACCUACUUUUUCACAUAUAUUAAUUUACCAUAAGAAAAUUUGUUAUUAACUAUGACUAAUGUAGUAGUUAAUUUUUAACUAAUCUCUAGUAAAAAAAAUUAGCUAUAAAUUAGAUACAUAAUUAGUAGUAGCAUAAUUAAGUGACAAAUUAUUUUGAAAUUUUGUCUCAACUAUUUAUAUGGUUUAUUUUAGUAUAUAAUUUGAUUUUGUCUAAUAUGGACCUCUAAAGAAUAGUCUAAGGGUCGAUAUCUUUACUAUUUUAGUAAAAAAAUAAGUUUAUAAUAGUAAAAAAAUGAUGAACAAAUAUAAUAUUUUAUUAAAAUUUAUUGAAAUUAGGAAAGUCCAUCUUUGGAUAGGUUGAUAUUAGACAACACUAUAUAAUUUAUGGUUAUACUCAUAUAAACCCUCAAGUCUUGUUUUGUGGUUCAAAGAAAUUACAUAUUCAGUUUAUUGUGAAAAUUAGAAAAUUAUAGAGGAGAUAGCUAGAGAGAGAGAGAGAGAGAAUAAUAAAAUAAUUUGGUAUACGAACAAAAUAAGAGAAAAUGAGCAAUUUUGUCAAUUUCUUUCAAGGGUUGACAUCAUUUUGCCAUGGAAUAUUCACAUGGAACCCACCAUCCCAUAUAAAAAGAUAGGAAGGAUAAAGGAACAAAAGCUAGCUACCACUCACAUAUUUUUUAUUUGAAUAAAAUCGAUUUAUUAAUCUUAGCAAACACUACUAAGAAAAGUUAAAUUAUGGAGAGAAAUUUAAAAACAUUAACGUAAAAAAUUCUCUAAAUUUGUUACUAAAUUUAAUGACAAAUAAAUUAAAGAUAAAUUUUAUAUAUUACAUCAUUAAUUAAUUUUUUUUCUUAGUGAAAGAAUUAUAAAUUUCUCCACUUAUUAACAAUAUUAUAUAUAGAGUCAUACACAUGUAGACAAACUUGAGUUAUUAUACAUUACAAAAAAAUUCAUUUAUUCUUUUGUUUUUUUCUCUUAGUUUAUAGUAAUAGUAUGGAGAAAUGUAAAGUAUAUAAUCACGGGUCAUCAGAAAUAGUGUGAAGAAACUCAUCAUCACAUUCACGGGUCAGUGAUCACGAUUAUAGUUUGUGGCUAGACAAUCAAUGAUCACUUGUGACAUACUAGUAUUUUGUUCAUUUAUAACAAGUCUUUUAAAAGAUAGGAUGAUUUCUAUAGGACAUUUUCAUUGCAAUUGUUCUUCUUACGAAUAACGAUUCAUGUCAAUUUAAUAUAAAAUAUAUGUAUUUGUUUUUUAAUAAUAUUAUAAUUAUAAAAGUAAAAAUAAUUAUUAAUAUUUACUUCUAAAAAGACAAAUUUUAUGAUCAUUUAAACCACAAUGCGUAUAACAAUUUCCCAAAAGAAAAAACCAAAAUUCUUCGCGUUAAUUUGGCACCAACCACUACAAGUCAAAAACCAAAGAACAAGUGGCCAAUUUUCUGCGACACAUCAUGUUUUUCUACCCACCUAUAUUUUGUUACAAUUCUACCCACCUUUAAGUUCUUCUAUUAGGCAAUUUAUUUAGGAAAAAAAUAAAGACAGUUUGUAGGUUUUAAUUUGAAGAAAUUUGAUUAAAAGAUCUUCAGAUGGACCAAAAUGUUUGCGGAAUGUGGUUAAUGAUACAAUUAAUUAUUGAGAAUAUUAUAACAGUAAAUUCUGAUUCUUUAAAUUAUUUGUCUGAUGAAUCUAAUUUUACUCAAAUUACAUCUAUCUAUUUAAUAUCACUUCGAUUUUUUUUAGUACAUACAUUGAAAUUCAAUUUAAAUAUAAAAAAUAUCAAUUUUUUCAUUUAAUCAAUGAAUUUGAAAAUUAUGUACUAAUAGUGCAAAUUAAAUGUUUAAUAUAUAGUUCGUUUUUUUUUACUGAGUAAGAACAUUAAUUUAGUUAAAAAAACAUUAAUUUGUAGCAUGAAAAAUAAAAUUAGGUGACAUGUAAGUGUCUAGUUAUACAUUUAUGAGUCCUACACACAUCUUGAAGUAAUUAAAUAUAUGUUGUAAUUAAUUGCAAUUUUUUAUUGGUUAACCCUUUCACAGACAAUGAUAAUAUACAAAUCUAAGUGUAAGUAAAAUCUAACUAAAUAUUAUUUUAAUUAUUUUUUAGAAUCUUAAAUCUCGCUCGGAACACUUAUGUAUCUCUUGAACUAAAUAAAUAUGUUUUUACUUUUACUCUCUCUUCCCAUUCCCAUUCCCAUUCCCUACCCCUCCAUUAAAAUCCAUCACAUUCCUUGUCUUUUGUUGAAUCAAAUACAUUAAUUAACAGAAAUUCAUAAACUAUUCCAACCACUUGUUUAUAUAAUUAAUUAUAUUUGAAUAGUGCUGAAUCUCAUCCAACUAGAAAAGAAAAAAAAAUGUCAGUGGGAAAGCUCGAUGAUUUUUUAGUAAAGCGAAAGCUAUAAGUUGGAAAAAUGAAUAUUUUUUUAAUGCAAAACUAUAUUAAAUUUCAUUAUUUGGUAUUUAGUUACAUGUACCUAACUUUAGAAAACAAUUAUUGGUGGGUAUCAAUAACCCUCCCUUUGGUAUAACCAUAUCAAGAUAAGAUUUUGUCUUUCAGUUCUUCAGAGAUAUGCUUCCAAUAUCUCUAGUUUUCUUGGUAAACUCACUCUCAUCCUCAUGAUAUUAAAUUUCCCACAUAUUUAAAUAAUAUAAGGUAAAAUUUAAUUUAGACAGCCCCUUCUUUUAUUAAAAAAAUAAUUUAGAUAUCAAAAUCUAACUGCUGAGAUAAUUCAUUUUAUUACAUUUUUAUCAAAUAUUGAACUUCCAACAAAAAUUAGAUACCAAAAAAAUCAAAUAGUUCUAAUUUAGCCUUUUUAAGAUUUAAUGACAAAAUUAGAGAAAUUUUGUUUAUGUCUGCGUUUUUUGUCGUUAAUUCAUCUUAUUUUCUGUACUAAUGUUUUUUUGUUACUCAAUAUUCUAGUAAUGUUGUAUAUACAUCAAUAUGCAAAAUUUUAUUGAUGACAUUAACUUUGAAGAAGAGAGUUUUAUGAAUCAUUUUAACGUAAUGGUUAAGCAACAACAAUUGGCACCACUAAAUUAACAUGGUUCUUGAAUUCAGGUCCAAAAAACAAAGCAUCAUUAAAUGUGGUACACAAACAUGGGCCAUGUUCUCAACUGAAUAAUGGAAAAACAAAGAUUCUUCCAACACACAAUGAUAUUCUCAAUAUUGACAAAGAAAGGGUGAAUUAUAUUCACAACAAAAUCUCAAAGAAGAAAAAUAUGGAGGAAUUGGACUCUUCAAAUUUACCAGCAAAAUCUGGAAGCCUAAUUGGGUCAGGAAAUUAUUUUGUAGUAGUUGGGCUUGGUAGUCCAAAAAGAGACUUAUCACUUAUAUUUGACACUGGUAGUGAUCUCACAUGGACUCAAUGUCAACCUUGUGCUCGUUCUUGUUAUAAGCAACAAGAUGAAAUUUAUGAUCCAUCAAAGUCUACUUCAUACCAAAAUAUCACUUGCACAACUUCUGAAUGCACACAGCUUUCUACAGCUACAGGUAUACUUUUACAUUUUCGGUAACAAUUUUUAGAAUAUUGUUUUUCUACAAUAUAUUUUAAAAUUCAUUCAAGGAAUUGUGAAAAGAAUUCCUUUUACUUCAAUUGUGAAAAUAAUUCCUUUAAUUGAAACACUCACACACUACACAACCACGUUUACACAACCACUUUUAUUUAUUUAUAGUGAAUAAAUAUAAAAUAAUUUUUUAUUCAUUUUUUUGUGUUAUGAAAUUUCACUUUUUUUACUAAAAAAAAUAAAAUUGUUGACAAUAAGAUACCAUUUAUCCUGAGGUAAUGAAUGAAAUUAUUUAGCAUAAAUAGCACAUGUGAUCUCUUAUCUUAAUUUCAGUUAACGUUUUAGUCUUUUAUUUUCUUUCUUUUUUUUCGGACUUGGUCCUUUAUUUUAGUUUUAAAUAAUAAUUUGAUCUUUUAUGUUUUAAAAUGUCAACAAUGUUAUCCUUUUUUUUUUUGCAAAAAUUCAAAAAAUUCAUCAAAAAUUUCAAUAAGACCCAUAAAAUUUAUUAUCAUCCUCAAUAUAAUGCAACUUUCAUCAAAUUCAAACUUAAAUCUUGAAAUAAACUCAUAUUUUCAUUUCUAACAACAUCAAAUAAAGAAUAAAAAUAUGAGUUUAUUAAAAUAUUUGAGUUACGAGUUUGAUAAAAUUUGUAUUAUAUUGAAGAAUAUAAUUAAUUUUAAGGGUUUUGUUUGAAAAUUUUGAUGAAUUUUUUAAAUUUUUGUAAAAAAAAAGAUAACAUUGUUGUCAUUUUAAAACAUAAAAGAUCAAAUUGUCACUUAAAAUUAAAAUAAAAGACCAAAUUAAAAAGAAAAAAAAAGAUAAAUGACUAAAACGUUAACUGAAAUUAAAUUAAGGGACGACAUAUACUAUUUAACCAAUUAUUUAUUAAUUAAUCCACUAAAAAAUAGUACAAUUUUUUUUUGAAAACCAGUGUUUUAUAUUAUUUUUAAAAUAUAAUUUUUGUAAUUUGAAAUCAGUUUUUAAAAGUAAAAAAUAUUUUUUGUUAUUCAUAAAAAAAAAUAUUUACUUGUUUUGUUACAAUAUAAAAUCUAAUCUAAUUCCAAAAAAUCAUUGUUACAGGAAACGAGCCAGGUUGUGCUAAAUUAACAAAUGCAUGUAUUUAUGGCAUUCAAUAUGGCGACCAAUCUUUUUCAGUUGGAUAUUUCGGCCGUGAACGGCUAACUGUAACGGCAAAAGACAGCGUCGACGGUUUCUUAUUCGGUUGUGGCCAAAACAACCAAGGCUUAUUCGGAGGCUCCGCCGGGCUUUUAGGCCUUGGUCGUCACCCAAUCUCCUUUGUCCAACAAACCUCUCUCAAAUACCACAAAACUUUCUCUUACUGUCUUCCCUCAACUUCUAGUGCUAUUGGUCACCUUACAUUCGGUGCAACUAGUAAUAAUUAUGUUAAAUACACCCCCUUUUCUACUACUGGUAGCAAUUCCUUCUAUGGCCUCGACAUUGUUGGAAUAACCGUUGCUGGAACCAAGCUUCCAAUCUCAUCUUCUAUCUUUUCCACCGGCGGUGCCAUCAUUGACUCUGGCACCGUCAUUACACGGUUGCCGCCAACCGCUUACUCUGUACUUCGAGAUGCCUUCAAAAAAGGCAUGUUGAAGUAUCCACCUGCUUCGGCGCUUUCUCUUUUGGAUACAUGUUAUGAUCUUAGUGGGAGCAAGGUGGUGUCCGUUCCAAAGAUUAGUUUUACGUUUGGCGGUGAUGUCACGGUGGAUCUCGCCGCGUCGGGGAUACUUUAUGUGGCGAGUGUGAAGCAAGUUUGUUUAGCAUUUGCGGCUAAUGGAGAUGAUAGUGAUUUGACUAUCUUUGGGAAUGUGCAACAAAGAACCUUAGAGGUUGUUUAUGAUGUUGGUGGUGGGAAAAUUGGGUUUGGUUAUGGUGGUUGCAAGUGAUCAAAUUAGUUAGUUUUGAUUUAUAGAUAUAACCAAUUAACUAAUCAAGCAAAAUGAAAAAUACAUUAAAAUUAUUGUAU